rnacentral:lncRNA from 1 species
AAAAAAAAAGUUAACCAUUUCACUUUUCGGCGAAUGAAGUAAAACCCCUUCUUUUUUUCUUCCAACUCAAGUAAAGUUUGUAGCUUCUGUGGUUGCUCUUCUUCAUUCUUUGGCAUUUCUUCUGAUUCUACCUUAACCUAACGAUGAAGCUGGUCAUUAUCAACUAGAUGCAGUGCUGUGUGAAGGUUUUCGGAGGUCCAAGGCGAGUUCAAAAAUAUAUUUUACAUGAUAUAUUUUUAAUAAUAUAUAUAUAUAACACUCAAAAGUUUUGAAUUAUUACAUAAACGUUUUCUAAAUUUUUUUCACUAAAAUUUUAUAAAAUAAAAUUUUAAAUCAUGAACAAAAAGUAUGAAUUUGUAAUAUAAAUACAAAGAUAUAAAUUUUUGAUUGAAAUGUUGGUAGCUGUCAAAAAUAUAAAUCUUAGCAUUUAAAUUAACUAUAAUAAAAUAUAUAUUGAAAAUAUUAUAUUUUCUUUAUCAAAUUCUCAUAAAUAUAUAUUUUCUUUAUCAAAUUCUCAUAAAUAUAUAAAAUAAAUCUAACUCAUAGCAUAUAAAAGAAAAGACCAAUGUGAUCAAAUAAUUACAAUUUUUUAGAAGUAGAAUCUUUAUAGUUUUAUUUAAAAUAUAGCAAAAAUGAUCACAAACCUAGUUAAUUUAAACAGAAGUCCAAUUUAAAUUCAAAUAAAAAUAAAAAUCUAACUAAAAGAAUAUGUUAACUACCAUGUAAAAGUAUUUUUUUUUUUGUAAUUUGGGGCCCUAAAAUUUUUACAAAAUUUGGGGGCCCUAAGCAAAUGUCUUUUUUAAAAGCCUGUAAGCACGACUCUGACUAGAUGAUGUCAGAGAACAAUUGUAAAUGUGCGACACAUCAAUACAAUUGUAAAUGUGCGACACAUCAAUGCAACUGUCAAGCUCGGCCAAGCUCUAUUUCAGCAUUUGAGUAGCCCUUUUCUUUAUCAUCAUCUUCAUCGUUCCAGUUCGUUGUUUUAUAGUAAGUUGCGUAUAGUAUAAGUUGUACUAUUCCUGAUAUUGAUCCAAGACCAUUUGGAAUCUGUUUUCAUGAAUAAAGAUCAAUAUGUUAGCGUCUUUUUAUUCUAAAGGAAUGAUAUCGAUUGAGUUGAACGUUACAGGGGUGAAAACCGAAGCUUGCCAAAAUAUAAAGGUCGAAUUUAAGACAAGCAUAAAUGACCCAAACGAUUCCAUUCACACUAAACUGGAAACAUGUCACAUGCAUAAGCGUUGUAAUAAAUGCGUUCACACUAAAAUAGACAUAUGUCACAUGUAGAGAGUUUCUCAGUCAAACUCUACAUAAAUAUGUUCACACUAUGUAUUUUACGUUUUUUUAAUAUAAAAUUCACAUGCAUGGUUCUUCUUUACGUUAUUUUUACAGUUUACGAAUAGAGCAGAACAAAUUAUUCAUAAAUUUUGAUUUGAUUCGUUAUCCGUUUUGAUUCGAACCAAAAAAUCCAGAUAUCCGUUACUCUUCGAAACAAAUCAAAUACUAAAAGAUGAAAAUCAUGUAAUGAAAAACCUGCAAAAAGAAGAUAAAUUAGUGAGAAGACAUAAGAAAAAGUGAGAAAUAGAUAUAAAGUUUAAUGUUUUGAUAUUCAAAGAGAUUAGAGAGAGGUUGAAGAGUUUUAGAGUGAGAAACAUUAUAUUUUUGUUGCAGUCAUUUGAGAUGAAGAAAGAAAAUGUAUAAAUUUUCUUUAUAUAUGGAGACAAAAAUUCCAAUUAGGUUAAAUAUUUUCGACCCAUAAGACUUCUGGAAGAGUUAUGGAAGACUCAUGGAAGACUUAUUAUGUACGACUCAUUAAAGACUUUGAUUUAGGCGGGAAACCUAAAUUAUUCCAAAAUUUAGGCGGAAACCCUAAAUUUUACUUAAAUUUAGGUGGGAUGUGUCGGAAAACUUUUUUUUUAAGUUUUAUGUGAGUCUUCUAGACCCUAAAAUCAAAUAACUAUGCAAAAAAAAAAAAUUUUUAAACUUAAAAAAACUUAGAAAGUGUUUAAAUCAAAUUGUUAGAUAGGUACUAAACAUAUAUAUGUCAAUUUGAAAAAGGAAAAAAAAUAAAGAUAAGAUUUCAAAUCUAACCCUAAAGAUAUCAACAAUAUUAUAACAUAUGUUACCAAACCCUAAACCAGUGAUUCAUGAACCAAUUUACAUUCACUCAUCUAGGUUGAAAAUAAUUCAAUUUCAGAUAAACUAAAUUUAGAUCAUUGAAAAAUAUUUAUUAUUACAUGAUUUCAACUUUUAACCCAUGAAAAUAAUUUUUAUAAAAAAUUAAAUUAUUUUUAAGAUCUAAUCCAUGAGAAUAAUUUCUCUGGAAGACUUUUGGAAGACUUAUGGAAGACUUAUGAAAGACUUUGAUUUAGGCGGAAAACCUAAAUUCUAUUAAAAUUUAGGCGGGAUGUGUUUGAAAACUUCUUUUUAAGUCUUAUGUGAGUCGUCCAGACCCUAAAAUCAAUUAACUAUUCAAAAAACACUUUCUUAAACUUAAAAAAAAACUUAGAAAGUGUUUAAAUCAAGUUAUUAGAUAGUUACAAAACAUAUAUGGGUCCAUUUGAAAAAGAAUAAAAAAUGAAGGUAAGAUUUCAGAAUCUAACCCUAAAGAUACAUACAAUACUUAACAUAUGUUACUAAACCCUAAACCAAUGACUCAUGAGCCAAUAUACAUUCACUCAUCUAUGUUGAAAAUAAUUCAAUUUCAGAUGAACUAAAUUUACAUCAUUGAGAAAUGUUUAUUAUUACAUGAUUUCAAUUUUUUACCCAUCAAAAUAUUUUUUAUAAAAUUAUAAAAUUAUUUUUAAGAUCUAUUGAACGAGAAGACUUACAAAAAAGUCAACAUAGAGAAGUUUUACAAAGAAGUCUUCUCUAACGGAUAGUUAUAAUGGUAAAAUUGAAUACAAAUUUUUUGUUUGUUCAUAAAAGGACUGUUGUAAUUUCACUAGGCUUUUGGGUUAAUUUUGGAUUUGAUUGAAUUUGGGGUAACACUUUUGUAUUAAUAUGAAUGUUUUGCAUGAUUAUAUAGGGUCACGAAAAUUGGAAAAUUCUUACAUAUCAACCUUUCCACAUUGGGAGAUCCAGAGAUACAGUGAAGGAACAUUCGAGGCUUUAAAAUAUAGCAACCUUUGUGAUUGUCUCGUUGGGUAUUAUCCAGCUGAGAAUCAAGUUUUCACAUUAUAGGGAGGUCCAAAGAUGCAGCAAUCGAGGAGCCUUGACAUCCAAGGCACUUGAAAAUUUCCCCAGCAGCAAGGUUUACUAGUUUAUGUAUCGGUGGGAUUAUCUACUAAAUAUAACCUUAGCACUUGGAAUCUAUUUUUUUUUUUUUUUUUGGUUUGAAUGUUUUCAGAAUAUUUAAACUAUCAGUUAUAUAGUUAAUAGUCAGCUUGUACAACUUUGUUUUUAACACUCGUUAGCAAGACGUCAAAAAAGAACUCAUUUGCAAUGACUAAGACAUCUCUAAUAUUUUCUUAUUUUUUUACCUCUAAAAUAGAACAACUCUAAAAUAAAGAUAUGUUUCUUUUCAAUGUAUUUCUCUAUUUUUACCUCAGAAAAUGAAUAUUCUUCAAAAAUUCUAUUUAAAUUUUACAAAUAAUACUUUUUAUUUAUGAAAGUUGAUAAUUAACCCAAUGUAUUUUUCAAUUUUUACAAGAUUUUUAUAAAAUUAUGACUUAGUAUAAAGUAAAAUGUGAUUCUAUGUUUAUAAAAAAACUGUAUUUUCAUAAAAAAAAUAGUUGUUUUGGUUAUAAUUAUAAGUCUAAAGUUAAAGUACUGUUUUGUAAAUAAAAAAUAUGAUUAUAUAAUAGAGAAAUGUUAUUUUUAUCUCUAUAUUUAGAAGAAAAUAUAGCAAUCUUUAUUUUAGAGGAAGAAAUAGAGACAAGUUGGAACACAUUUUCUUCUAUUACAAUAUUUAGAGAUAAAAAUAGCAAUGGAGUGGAAAUGCUCUGAGAGUUGUAUAGAGUUUAUGUUUCUCAAAAUCAUAAGUGCAUUUGGAGUUUAAUGAUUGGAUUGAAGGUUGAAAUAUCUUUGGACUCGAUUGCUCGACUUGAUGUCAAAAUCUCAUAUUUCAUCUGUAUUUGUACCUUUAUGAACAUCCAUAUGAAUAUUCGUCUUACAUUUCAAAAUAUAUUUGUUAUAAAAUCCAAUGAACAAGAAACAUAUAUAAAAAUUCAAUAAUUUAUGAUUAUGGUGCAAUGUCUUUUUCAAAGCUUUAAUAGUUGAAUUAGUUUUAAGUAGGAAUGUUUUUUUUUCAUUCUAAAUCUAGGAAUUUAUUCAUACAUAAUUGUGGUUCUGAUUACUUAUUAUUGUACAUUUGUUGGAUAUACAUGCUUUAAUACUAUCAAAAGAUGAUACACAGAGUACAAAUUAAUAAUGUAAAAUUAUUGGUAAAUAUGAUUCAGUAAUCUGUUCACUCUUCUUAUUCAAAAUUAGAAAGAUUUAUUGACUUUAUAAAAUACAAACCAAAUAUUGCAAUAACAUUAUAUCAUAUUUUGAUGAUUUCUAAAACAGUUUUUUUAAUUAACAUAUAAAUAUUAGCGAACAUUGAUUUUUUAGGAAAAAAAAUGUUAAAUAUGUCCCAUUAGACUAAUUUUUAUUUUGUACCAUUUUUGUUUCUAAUGUCCUUUAGUAUUUUUGAAAAUAAUUAAAUAAAUAGUUUUACAAACAAAAAAACUGAAAAAUAGUAGGGGUUUUUGCCAAAACUAACCCACAACUUGAUUUUAAUCCCAAAUCUAUACCCAAACUUGAAUCAAAUGCAAAACUAACCUAAAAGCCUAGUGAAAUUACAGUUCAGCCCCUUGUGACCAAACAAAAAAACAGAAGCCAUUUUUACGAAUAUAGCCCCAGUAAAUCGUCUGAGUCGUCUGAGAUGUUGGAAGUCGUCUGGACGACUGAAGUGUAAGUCGUCUGGUACCAGUUUAUUUUAAAAAUAAUUUAUAAAUCUUGUAAAAAAAUAUUUUGAUGCGUAAAAAAUAAAAAUCAAGUAAUUAUAAAUAGUUUUAACUGAUAUAAAUUAAGAUAUGAUAAAAUUGAUUUGUUUUGAAGAUAGAUGAGUGGAAGUAGUGAAUCAUGAAAUACUUUAGUUUAGGAGUUUGGCAAACAUAUGUUGUAGUAUUGUAUGUAUUGUUAGGGUUAGAUUUUGGAAAACUAAAAUGUUUUUUUCAAAAAUUAGUUUUCACCUAUAUGUGUUUAUUUCUGUGUAUAGUAAAUACUUUCCAAGUUUGAUUUGGUUUUAUGAAGUGUUUAAUUAGAUAAUUAAGUUUAGGGGUUAUGUUUAGGGUGUGGACGACUUAUAUUUCAGUCAUCUGUUGAAUAAUUUACCCGGACGACGUAUAUUUCAGUCGUCCAGACGACUUACUUGUAAGUCGUCUGGAAAGUCUUCUAUUUUAGUUUCCCGCUAAAAAUAUUUAAUUUCCCGCUAAAAAUAUUAAACUCUUCUGGACGACUUACAUGUAAGUCGUCUGUUUUAAUUUCUUCACAAGACGACUGAAAUGUAAGUCGUCCAGGAAGUCGUCUGAGUCAAAAAUAUUUAAUCUAAUUGGAUUUUUUGUCUCCCUAUAUAAAGAAAAAUUUACACAUUCUCUCUCCUCCUCUCAAAUGGCUGCAACAAAAAUGUAAUGUUCAUCAUUUUAAAACUCUCCAACCUCUCUCUAAUCUCUUUGACUUGAAAACACCAAACUUUAUAUGAAUUUUUCAGUUUUGUCUCAUGUAUUUCUUACUAAUCUAUCUCUUUUGCAGGUUUUUAAUCAAAUGGUACUCAUCUUCCACUAAUUUAGAGGUAGAUCUAUUAAUUUUAGAUAUGUAUUUUUGUGUGUUCUAUAAAUGUAGAUUUAUCUAAUCUUCCACUCAUUUUCUCUAUUUUUAAGUCAUUUGAACGUUUUUGGAUAUGCAGGUUUUUCAGAUCUGGAUUUGAUGUGCAGGUUUUUCAGAUCUGGAAGACUUCUGGGACGACUUACCUGUUAGUCGUCUGGAAGUCGUCUGGACUUCUUGGAAAUCUUCUGACAAAGUCGUCUGGACUUUCAGGAAGUCGUAUGGACUUCCAGGAAGUCGUCUGGACUUCCAGGAAGUCGUCUGGACUUCCAGGAAGUCGUCUGGACUUCCAGGAAGUCGUCUGGACUUCUAGGAAGUCGUCUGGAUUUUUCUGAGCGUUUUGGUAAGUUCUUAUGUCUGAUUUUUCUUCAUUUGGUAACUUCUUGUUGUAUAAAGUUCUUACUUUUUUCCCAAACUAAAACUUUACAAACCCACUCUAAUCUCUUUGACUUGAAAACACCAAACUUUAUAUGAUUUUUUCAAUUUUGUCUCAUGUCUUUGUUACUAAUCUAUUUUUUUUUUUUGCAGGUUUUUAAUUAGAUGGUACUCAUCUUCCACUAAUUUAAAGGUAGAUCUAUUAUUUUUAGAUAUGUAUUUUUGUGUGUUCUGUAAAGGUAAAUUUAUCUAAUCUUCCAUUCAUUUUUUCUGUUUUUAAGCCAUUUGAACGUUUUUGAAUAUGCAGGUUUUUCAGAUCUGGAUUUAAUAUGCAGGUUUUUCAGAUCUGGAAGACUUCUGGGACGACUUACUUGUUAGUCGUCUGGAAGUCGUCUGGACUUCCUGUAAAGUCGUCUGGAAGUCGUCUGAACUUCCUAAAAGUCUUCUGGCAAAGUCGUCUGAACUUCCUGGAAGUCGUCUGGACUUCUUAGAAGUCGUCUGGACUUCUUAAAAGUUGUCUGGUCUUGUCUACUCAAGUGGAAUCCAAGCUUGUCUUUGUAGAUGAAUGAUCUAUAAUAGUUUUGUUUGUGGUCUGUUUUGUGAAUUGCAUGUAUACUCUUUUAGUUGUGAAUUUUUUUGUAAAAUCAGUAAUAAUGUUUUCCAAGAUGUAUUAAAUGUGCUAACAAUGUGUUUACACAUUUACAAAUCAAUGAAAUAUUAGACUUCAGUAGCCUUUUUCUUAUCUUUGGAUCUCUCAUAUGCAAUAAUAAACUCCAAUGGCCUUUUUCUCAUCUUAAUAAACAAGAAUUUUGGUAAGAGAUGGAAACAAACAAUAGUAACUAGUCAAAGCAUAUCAUAUUUUUUAUAAGUUUGCAUUGAAAAACUUAGUCAAAUUUAGUAAAACUAAGGGAGAGAACAUAUUUUGUAAAUAUGAGUUUUACAUAUCUUGAAGUUACUUAUCACUCUUAAAAAUACAAGUUAUUCAAAAACUAACGUAGAAGACUUAAAAACUAGUGGAGAAGACGCGGAUGACUUCAAUCUAAGUUGUCCAGACGACUAAACUAUAUGUCGUCUGGUCAACGCAGAGGUUAUUUUUGCAAUUGACUUUGAAAUCUGUUAUUUCGGACGACUGAAAGUUAAGUCGUCUACUAUUGUUUGGUUAAAAAAAAACUCCAAAAAAGCUAGACGACUUACAUUUCAGUCGUCAGAGGUUAGUUUUGCAUUUGACUGGAUUAUUUCAGAAGUUUGACUUUUUGGACGACUUACAUUUCAGUCGUCUAGUGAAAAUUAAAAUAAUAAUAUUUUUUUAAAAGUAGACGACUUACAGUUAAGUCGUCAUAGGUUAGUUUUGCAAUUGAAAAAAAAAACUUCAAGAUUUAAUUAUAUACAGACGACUUAUAAUUCAGUCGUCCACGAGACGACUGAAAUGUAAGUCGUCCAGGAUUUACGAGGUUUGACCAGAAUCUCGGAAAAAAGUCCUGGACGACUUACAAUUAAGUCGUCUGGUGGACGACUGAAUUAUAAGUCGUCUGUGUAUAAUUAAAUCUUGAAGUUUUUUUUUUCAAUUGCAAAACUAACCUAUGACUACUUAAUUGUAAGUCGUUUACUUUAAAAAAAAUAUUAUUAUUUUAAUUUUCGCCAGACAACUGAAAUGUAAGUCGUCUGGGGAAUUCAAACUUCUGAAAUUAUCCAGUCAAAUGCAAAACUAACCUAUGACGACUGAAAUGUAAGUCGUCUAGGUUCUUUGGAAUUUUUUUUGAAACCAAACAAUAGUAGACGACUUAACUUUCAGUCGUCUCAGGUUACAGAUUUCAAAGUCAAUUGCAAAAAUAACCUCUGCGUUGACCAGACGACUUCCAGGUAAGUCGUCUACAGCCAGACGACUGAAAGGUAAGUCGUCUACAGCCAGACGACUUCCCAAGUAAGUCGUCUGACGAACAGAUCUGGAAAAAAACUCGAUGUCAUACGUUAAAUUGGUGAGAUAAGUUCUUUAGCAUACAUAAGGCUUCUCCAAGCACACAGAAUCACAAACGAAAGUCACCCACCCAUAAUCGUUAGCUUCUAUGACUCUAUGAACCAUAAAAAUUUCAGAAUCAAAAUCUUGGGUUUUUUAGCUCAUUGUGGAGAGAAAGUGAGAGAUAUGUUAUGUUUAGUUCACAAGAAUGGAAAAAGAAGAAGGGUAAAUCGAUUUUGGGAGCAUUAAGAGCUUCAAAUUGGUUGUUCAUGGUGGUUGUGGUAUUGAUGACAAUGGCAAUCUUGUAAUUACUUGAAGAUGAUGAGGGUGAGAGAGUAAAAAUGUCAUUUUCGAAAAAAAAAAAAAAAAUUGAUGGCAUUUUCGUAAAUUAUAUGAACUUGUGGGGUGAAUAGGGCAAAACCAAUUUUCAAAAAAAAAAAGGAGGUUAGUUUUGUGUUUGACUUUAAGUUGUAGGUCAAUUUUGCAAAAAUCCCAAAAUAGUAACUACUGAUGAAAUACUUAUAUGAACUUAGUGAUAUUUUUUCCAGUUCUAAAAAUGUUUAAAUCAUAAUUUCAGAUUUUGUUCUACAUAAAGUAUAAUUGACAUUCUAUGAAGUAGAAAAUGAAAUCUACUAUGUUUAGAAUACACAUAGAAAUCGCUCUAAAAUGAAAUCUACACAUAGAGAAUGAAAUCUACUAUGUGAUCUAUGUAAAUAAUAGUACUCUAAAAAUAUUUAGAAUAUACAUUACGCGCUUAAUAUAUCGCUUUAAAAUCUGUAGAAAUUAGAAUCUACAUAUUACUAUAAAUCUAAAACAUGUAGAAAUCAAAAUCUACACAUUACUAUAUAUAAAUCUAAAAACAUGUAAAAAACUAUUUUUACAGAUUUACUUUAAAUUUACAACAUGUAGAAAUUGAAAUCUACACAUUACUAUAAAUCUAAGAACCUGUAGAAACCGAGUUCUACAUAUUUAUUGUAUUAUACAGAUAAGAAUAAUCAGUUUCGAAAAAUACGGAAAGAAAAUAUUUGGAAAUAUUCAGCUUCCAUAUAUGAAAAAAUCAAUUUUCAGAAGAAAAAAAAUAUGGGAAGAAAAUAAUCAUUUUUUAUUUGAGGAUUUUUAAUGUUUUUUUUCUUUUAUUUUAAUUAAUUAAUUUAAUUAUUUAUUAUAUUUUAAUAUUUAGCAAUUGUUUUGUUAAUUGUAAUUUCAAAUUUAUAACUGAAACUUAGAGCAUUAUUGUUAUUUUGAAAAUAAUCAGCUUAAUAGAUAUAAAAUAUAUGAGAUUAGUCUAAUGGAAUAUAAUUACCUUUUUUUGGUUUAGAAAAACAUUUUUUCUAAAUAUUUAGCUGGCAUCAUUUUGAUUUUUUUAGACCUAUGUUAGUAGAAGUGCAGUAUAUAUAUGAUGGCAAUAAGUUCGUUAGGAAGCAAAAAGCUUCAAUCUAUUUCAGUUUCACCACUGUUGACGAAGAACAUCUCUUCUCCCAGUUUCUGCGAUGGAAGUUGUACAAUCGGACCCAGCCCAGGAUCCGGAAACCCGGUACGUUCCACGUUGCUGCUCGUGUUUCCCCACCUUCCGAUCAAGAAGCUCCGCAUACUCCUCCUGGGGAAGAAUUCGGAGCGUUGAUGAUAAUCACAGCGUUGACCGCGGAGACGAUCCACCGUGGUGGAAACGGGCGGCUCUUAAGAUCCGAGAGUGGUCUGAAAUCGUAGCUGGUCCACGUUGGAAGACUUUCAUUCGCCGAUUCAACCGCGAUCCACGUCGCGGCCGCGAUUGGGACGCCAGCGAGAAGUUUCAGUACGAUCCUUUGAGUUACUCUUUAAAUUUCGACGACGACGACGAGGACGACGAGUACGUCGGUUUGGGUGGAUUCCGAAGCUUCUCCACUCGCUACGCUUCCGUUCCGGUCUCCUCAGGAAAAUCUCUGGCGGUUCCGCCGCGUAACGAGGUAUCGAAGAGUUAGUGGGCGCGUGUACGAAACGCGUUUGCGUUACUGGCGGCGGCGACGGAAAGGCUGUCAAGUUCGUUGACUGUCGCGUUAAUUGCGUUUCCUUUAAUUCUGUUUAUAAUAAUUAAAAAUACGAUCAACGUUGAAUUAUUUACUUUUCAUCUUCGAAUUAAUUUUUUCCAGACGUUUUGUUUUGUUUCUUUUUUUGGGGAUACUGAAUUUGAAACGGUUGAUGCAAUGAGGUAAAUUAGCUGUACAGAUAUGUGGAAGUAAUGUUUAAGUUCAUCAUUUGAUUUAAACGAUGAUAAAGUAUUAUAAUUAGUUGUUUGGUAUGAUUUCAGCAUUUUAAUAUUCCACGUUGGCUUUUUAAUGGUGAGGGUUUAGUUUAUCCAUAACCUGUUAAUAAUGAACAAUGAUAAUUGCUGAUUCAUAUGAAACUCAUCAUGUAGUUAUAAGUGUGAAAGCAUUCUCACUACUCAAAAUUUAUGUAUGUGUGACUGUGUCCAUCUCUAUCUACUCAUUCCCUAAUAUUGGAUGUAUGUCACAAAAUUACACAAAAGGCCAUAGUUCGAUUUGAUCAAUCACUGGACCACAAGACAAACAUUCUCACAAAACUGGAAGAAGAUCUGUCAGGAACACUAAACAGUAAACAAUCAAAUCAUAAGCAUCUAUCAUAACAAUAUAACCCUGAGGAGGCUUGUAUUUCAAUUAAAUCGACAAGUGCAUUAUAAAAUCAAAUACGGCCCAUAUUGAUUCAUCGGCCCGCUGCACUUGUUAACUUCAAAUCAAAGUGCGUGAGUUUAACCACUAUUGUGACGUUGUGACACUAGUUUAUUUUUGGAAUCUUAUGAUAUCUAGAGUUGUUGUUGUCCCAAAAAAAAACCUGAUAUCCAGAGUUGCAUGAUUAAGUAGAUGUAUAAUGUAUUUCAAUAUGAAAGGUAUAGUUGAAUAAUAAUUAGUUUCAUUUCAGUAUUCUUUUCACUAAGCAUGUUAUUUGAUUUAUUCUAUGUUUUGUCAAUUUAUUGAAUAUCAGCCACCUAAGAUUUUAUUUAUUUAAAGAGUCUUAAUUUGGAAGUGUUGUUGGUGGGAAUAACUUGUAGUAAAAUACUAAAAACAAUACACCUUUAAACUAAAGAGCAAAAGCCCCGUGGUCCUCUCCUUGUGAACACCUCUCCAGGUAACAUACUUCUGCGUUUCAUAGUUAUGGUGGUUGCGUCGAUGUAGUCGUAGGUAUUACUCUACUCCAAUAAUUAGUUUAUUUUAUAAAAAUAUAUCUUAUAUAUAAUUUGUUAAUCAUUUAUCUACAUUUUUGGUAGAUAUCCUCACACAAGUUUGGCUCCAACUCCCCACUAUAAAUCAUUAUCUAAACACAUAUAAGUAAUAUGCACUUUUACUUUCUAAACCAGAACUUGUACAAGUUGCUAUGAACCUUUGUGAAAAGUUGGAUUUUUUUAUUAAUGGUAGUUGCCAACGAAAUUCUUGUUGGCCGAUAUUACAUUAUUGAGUUAAAAUUCGAUGAUAGUUUUUAUUUAAAAAAAAUAUAGGUCCACAUAAAAGGCCAGUUUAUCCAAAUAUAUUUAAUAAAGGGAAGUUUACUAAAAUGACACAAAGUCAUGGUUUAAUUAUUAGUAAUGGCCAAAUUGUAACUUUGCAUGUUUCAAGAGUUAUUCUAGUUAUUUCAAAAUUAUAUGAAUGAGAAUAUCUAUACUAUACUAAAAGGAGUAUAUAAGCUCCUUUUAGAGUGUCCACAUAGGCACAAAAAAUCGUCCAAUCAGAGAGCUCGAAGUUGCAACGUCAUAUCAUUUAUUUUUUCGUAAAAAAUAAAAAAACAAUGCAAAGGAGAGGAUCGAACCCGGGUUAGUAUGACAUAAAUAUAGGGCAAAUACCACUAAUCCAUUGAAACUUUCUUGAACACAUAUACAAGAAUCACUAAAUAUGUAAUCACACUCUUAUGUACAUUUACAAUAAUAUGGAUUCAAUUUUCAAGACUCCGAUAAUUUGUUUUGUAAAAAAAAAUAACUAAGUGACUAAGAUAAUAUAUUCUUUGAAAGUGUGAGAAUUGACAAAUAUGAAAAGACAUAGAUUUUUGUUUUCGUGAAAAAGUUAAGAAUUUUGUAAAAGUAAGUUUAACAUAUAAAUUUUCGUGACAAAUAUGAAAAAAACAUAGAUUUUUGUACAAUUUUGACAAAACAACUCAAAACAUAAUUCUCUAAUGUCUUAAUAAAAUAUUAUUUAAGGGUGCAAUAAUUAAAUAUAUCAAUUCAAUAAAUUUUGUAAUUUAUAGACAAAACAAUAACACAACAAAUUUUGAAAUAUUUAUUUAACCUAUCGAUUUCUUUUCAUGAGAAUCCAACUAAAGAAGAUAGAAAAAAACAAUUAGAUUUAUUUAAUUAUGAUUUUAUUAAAUUUUGAUUAAUUUCAAAUUGUAAGAAUGUAUCUUUUUGAAGUUACAAAAAAAUAAUGUUCUUUCUUUAUUACACUAGCAUUAUAUAUAGAUUCCAUAUACACAAAUAAAUAUAAUAUAACAACAUAAGCUUGCUUUCCCCGAUUCAUAUAAAAACUUUUAAGUUAUCCACCAAAACAAAUUAAUUAAAUCAAUCAAAUUGUUAGAAUAUAACAAAUUAAUAUAUAAUUUUAUUUUAAAUUAAAUUAUUUAAAAAGUGUAUUUUCAUUAAAAACAAAAUAAUAAAUAAGUAAAACUGAUUUAAUGGUAAUUUUUAUGACAUAUAUAUAUUAUGUGAAAGAAAUAUAAGCUUAAUAUGGAAAAAAAUCUUAAAUACAAAAAACUCUAAAAUUAACAAAAAAACAAAUAAAAAUUAAACUAUUAUAUCAAUUGAAAGCUUCUUAGACAAUAUUAAUAAAAUAUUUAAGUGAUAAUUAGACAAAUUUGAUUUUUUUUUUCAGCCAAAAGUUUAUUAUUAAUUAGCAUCAGUUAUUUCAAGAUGUUUAAUAAGUGAUGGACUUAAAUGAUAUAUGAACUAUGAAUAGUAGUACUUUGUAAAGCUGACUUAGAUAACACAUCUGCACAUUAUUUCGAGUCUUUUUUUAUGCCUAAAUUCAAUUUCUUCUGAGCAGUUAUUCCACAAAGAGAUCGUAUGAGAUAUUGUUUUGAUAUUCAGAUUUGUUUCUUGACUGUUAAGAAGAUUGAUAACUGUAAAAUGUCUCCUUCGAAUAUUAUAUGUCUAUAACUGAAUCUCCGACAUGAGACAACUUUGUUUAAAAAAUAAAUAAUUUCAUUUUUUUAUACUAUAUAAUAAAUAUAUAUGAUUUACUGAUAAUAAAAAUAUAGUUAUUCAUCUAUCACAAAUAUCUAUGCAAAUAUGUGAAUCAAGUACAACAAUCAAAUAACAUAAUGGUUUCCACAAAGAAAAUUUAUAAAAUAUAUUUAUGUUAUGUAGUCUUAUUUUAUAUUUUUUAAAUAAUGUAAUACAAUAUUAUACAUUAUUUUUUAGAAUUAAAAAAUACAUAUAAUAUCUUAUCCGCGCGUAGCGCGGUUAAAAAAUCUAGUCUUAAAUAAAAUUUUAUAGUUCAAACACUAGAGUCAUUCUAAGUAAUUUAUAUUUAAUAAAUGAAUAUCUUAAAAUAAAAUUUUAUAGUUCAAACACUAUUUUUGUAUUUUCAGCUUUAACUAGAAACGGUAUAUUUAUGUUUAUAAUCAAGUAGGAUUAACAUUUCAUUGUAGAGAAAUUAAUACUCCCUCUCUUAUAAAAUAUUUGUUGAAAUGAUGGUUUCAGCUGUUUUAAUUUCGUUUCUAUAUAUUUAUGUGAUAUAGAGAAUAAUAACAAAACAUGUAUUCGACAGUUGAAACAUGUUUACGUAUAUGAUAUCAGCAUGCCACUGUUGCUCACCGUGACUAUUAUUAACUUGCGAGAAUAGCUAUCUCGGCACAUUUCUAUAGUUGAUGGUAAAUAUUGGUGGCAUAAGAGGAUACUAAUGCUUUUUGGUUUCAUUAAUGUAUCAGUUUAACUUUUUUAUUUUUUGUCAAAAAAAAAAAAAUCGAACCGAGCCAACAAACACACAUAACAACAACAACAACAAAAAAAACUAAAAUAAAAUACAGAUGUUUAUUUAAUGAAAUACAAGAUUAUUACAGUCUUUUUAUAUUCGAAUAGAACUGACAUAAUUUUCUUGGAAAUAUUGUAAAGAGGAAACAGAAAAGAAAAAAAAGCAGGGGCUUCUUUGUAUGUAUGUUCUGUUGUGCGGUUUGCUUUAUAUUUUAACUCAUCUUCCUCGUUAAAGUAAAUCCCAUUUAUUUCCUUUUUAUUCUUCUUCUUCUUCGUCUUCUUGGGUUUGGCUGUGUAUGUGUGUGUUGAGAUUCAUUCAAUCAAUGGCUUCAAGUGCUUCAAAGUUCAUAAAAUGCGUGACGGUUGGUGAUGGCGCCGUUGGUAAAACCUGUAUGCUCAUCUGCUACACCAGCAACAAAUUCCCUACUGUGAGUUACUUCAUUCAUUAAAUCUCUCUCUCUCUCUCUCUCUCUCUCUCAUCUUUAUAGUUUAUCUCUGGAUUCUUCAUCAGAAUUUUCUUCAUGAUUUUACCAUACUAUACUGUAUAUAUAAAAGCUCAAAUAAGUUACCAUCUCGUUGCGGUUUGAUAUAUGGAUUGAAUUUUGUAACAGGACUACAUACCAACAGUUUUUGACAACUUUAGUGCAAACGUUGUAGUUGAAGGCACCACUGUGAACCUAGGGCUGUGGGACACUGCUGGUAUGAAUACUAAUAUCCAUAUUUGAGAUUGUUGCAUGCAUAAUAACCAUUUUCCAUGUUUGAUUGAGGGCUUUCUUGAGAACUUUAUAUCCCUUUUGAAUUUACCUUUGUUCCCCUGUUGUGUUUUUGUGGUGCAGGACAAGAAGACUAUAACAGAUUAAGGCCUUUGAGUUACAGAGGAGCAGAUGUUUUCGUCCUGUCUUUCUCCUUGGUCAGCCGAGCUAGCUACGAGAAUGUUUUUAAAAAGGUUUUGAUUUUUGAAGAUUGAUUCAUCCAUCCUUCUCUCUUAUGUUGGAAACGAAAAUAUCUAAUGCUAUAUGACUCUUCUUGUUGAGACAGUGGAUCCCUGAACUCCAACACUUUGCCCCUGGAGUUCCAUUAGUCCUUGUUGGUACCAAAUUAGGUAAAAGAUAACUGAUGAGCAUUUUUUUACCAACAUAUUCCUCUUAUUCAUGAUUCUUACAACAUCCAUGUAGAUCUUCGUGAAGAUAAGCAUUAUUUGGCUGACCAUCCUGGACUAUCCCCUGUAACUACUGCACAGGUUUGAUCAUCUCAGUAAACGCGUUUGAUCCUUUUGUAUACGUUUGAUAAACACAUUCCAAUAUGUCACACACAGGGAGAGGAAUUGCGUAAGCUAAUAGGUGCGACAUAUUACAUUGAAUGUAGCUCAAAAACUCAACAGGUAUUGUUCUAUACUAAUACCUUUACAUUGAAUCAAUCGCCUUCAUAGUAGACAACUCUUCUCUUCUGAAAGUUAACAUUUUGCAGAAUGUGAAAGCAGUUUUUGAUUCGGCGAUCAAGGAAGUGAUCAAACCGGUGGUUAAACAAAAGGAGAAGACCAAUAACAAGAAGAAGCAAAAGUCUAAUCAUGGCUGUUUAUCGCGAGUCUAUAUAUAAUAUAUAUCCCAACAAACUCUCCCCCUACAUUUCUUUUGAAAUAUACUGACCUUACUACCUCUUUGUUUUUGGGCAGAAACGUUCUGUGUGGGAGGAUAGUGACUCGGCACUGAUGAUGAUGGCAAAGCCCACUCUUGGGUUUCUGUUAUAACACAUGUAGAUGGAAUCAUGUAAGAGAGAUGAUUAGCCUCUAAUCAAUCAAUAGUUUACAUUGAAGAGAUACAGAGAGAGAGAGAGAGAGAGCUUACUAUUACUAACUCAACUAUGUUUAACUGUUUCAGUCCACUAUAUUAGCCUUUUUGUUUGUAACAGAGAAUAAAAAAGUUCCGAUGAGAGUCUACUAGACAAGAAACGGCUUGAGAACCUGUAUCAGUCGCAAAGACAGUCAAUGAUCAAAACGCAGAGUUUCAUCAAAACAUCACGGAACAUAAUUCCAAUGGGCCGGAGAAACAGUCUUGCUAAACUUGGGCCUUAACCGGCUCAGAGUAAACAUACCUUUUCCUUUCUUUUUGUUUGCACAUUUUUGAAAAGGACCUUUUGUGUUAUCCACGGUAAACAAGUUGAAAGAUAACACUAUUGCCACACUUAUACAUCACGUCACAAACUAUAGAAACUAGUGUGCAUCAUUACUUAUUUAUUUUCGAGUUGGUGAGAUCGGAGUUCCAUCUUUUCAUUGGGUAUGGGGAACAGAGAAAGACAGGAGCAGAUUGGCUCUUAGAUCUAAACCAACCAUGAGCCAGCCUUUCUGUUUUUUGUUUUCUCAUAAAAUUUGACCCUCCUUACUAUAUAGUGUAUAAUAAAACUAACUCGCUCAUAAAAAAUGCGUUAUAAACUUAUAACUAAUAUUAUCAUUUAUCAACGCGUUUUGAGAAUAGUAACACUUUUCAAACGCCUUACAUCCAAGUGUAAAUCAGACACUGCAGUAUUACGGAUUGUAUAUUUUGAAAACGUGUGUUAUCAUAUCAAUCAAACCCGUCAUCAUGUUAGCUAAAUUGGUUUUUAUGAGAUUGUAAUCUUAUUAAAUUUUGUGGGGAAGAAAAGUAGAGAAGGCACAUGAGAGUUUUUGUAUUGUGUAAUUUCCCAAAGGUACGCCAAAAAAAAGCUUGCUCUCCCACCCCCAUGUGCACCCUCUCCUCAGUCCCCACUUUUUCCCUUUUUCGAUUAAAUUAAUUAGUUGAUUUCUAUUUCAUCUUUUUCUGUCGGCUUUUAAUUUCCUAAAAACACUUUUGUUUGUUUUUUCAUUCUUGUAUCACACUUUUUAGGCCUGGGUUCACACUCACAGUAAUAAUAACUCAAUAAUACUUCCCACUCGUAGGACUACUACAACAAAUUAGAGAAUUUUUGUAACUAUUUUUUGAGCAAAAGAAAUCUCGAAACAAAUUAAACAAUAACUUAUUUUAAAGAUAGACAGCAAAAAAAGAUAGAAUUGAUAUCAAAUCAUGCUACAUAACAAAAUGAUAAAAUUUCAGAACGUUGGUCGAUAUAUAUCAACUUUGACAACAACUUGUGAGUUUCCAAUUUCAAUGAUUAUUAUAGUAUUGAAAACCCGCUCCUACAAAAUACUUGAUGGCUCAAAUACAUGAUUCGCUAAUUAGUGGUUUAAUUAGCAUUCUUGUUUAAUUUUUCAAGCCAGAUUCUCAAUCACGUGCAAAGUUCCUUCAAACAAUCUUAGCUGGUUAGCUAGCCAUCAAUUAAUUACCGAGUUUUCAUGUCGGAUACUCAAAAUUAAUUAUAUAUACUACGUACAUGACUGACUGACGUAAUUAAAUAAUGUAUUCAUAUCUCAUUUCAAAUGUUCAAAUCUUGUGUUUUGCCUUAAAGGCUCGCAUGAAUAACGUGUGAAAGACCAUAUCAAGAAAAUUCGAAUCGAACCCAUUCAACGAAACAUGAGAUUUUUUAAUAUGUUUAUAUUUCGGGUAAAACAGGUAAUUGUUUAUUGUGCAUGCAAAUGUAAAAAGUAUUAGUCUAAAGUGUCUAACACAUACGCGUUUUUGUUUGUGCUGUUUAUAAACGUGGGUUUCCUAUCAUAUAAGUAUUUUACAAAGAAAUAUAAACUUCUUUUUUUGACAACAAAACAUUUAAAGACUCGUAUAAACUCCAUAAAUUAAAUUAGUAAUUUUGCAUCUAUGUGAAUGACGAAAAACAAUUGUUUAUACAUUGCAAUAUAAACAAUAUUUAUACAUUGCAAUUUGUCGGCAAGAUAUAUAUACACAAGGUGAGAGUCAAAACAGCUGUGCUAGUAAUUACCAUAAAUUCAUUUGAAAACGAUGCAUCAUUGACAAAAACAUUGAGCUAGAACUUAAAACAAACAAUAAUAGUAACUGUAAUGUAGAAAAUCAAAAUAAAAUAUAAACAUAGCUCCUCUUAAUAGUAACCUUGUUUAUCUUGAUAAAGUUGUACUCGAGAAGCUUGUUGGCCAAAUUAAAAAUUGAGUCCCAUCAGCCAGUGGAAAUGUGGAAUAUAUCUCGUCCAACUAAAUCGAUUACAAAUAUUGUCGUUUUUACGUUAAAAGUAUAUCUUUAUAAUUGUUUUAUGUAAAGAUCACGGGAUUACAAAUGAAAAAGGUGGACGUGACAUAUAUCUUUUAUGUGUGUUCCUCGUUAUCUCUAGUUUUAUGCUUUAUGUAUACAAUUUAGACAAUACCACUUAAGAUUCUCCAAUCGAGUUUAGUAUAAAAUCAGACCAUGUGGAUGACUUCAAGUGAUGCCCUAUUUACCAUGUUGAUAGUAAUCACAAAGAAUCUAUUCGAUCUACUGUAUCCAAUUUUUUUUUUAAAACACUAUUACUGCAUUGAUAUAUAAAUGUUACAAGCUGAUAAAAGAGGAUCGACAUCAAUCAAAUCGUGCCUAUACAAAAAGGUGGCUUUAGCCAAGAUGGAAAACUAACAUCAAUAUAAGAUUGAUAAAGAUCCUCUUUAAUCACACUUUUUGCAAUGAGCUUUGCACUGAUAAAAUGUUGAUGAGAAUGAAGACUUUCUGGUCAACAAUAUCUUGCAGCCAUGCUAAUAAGUGGGAGGAAAAAAACUCGAGAGAAGACCUAGCUGAUGGUUUGGAGAUUGCAUCAAUGAGAUCAUAGUCAUCACUAGCAAAAAUGAUAGCAUUAAGAUGGAAAUUUUUCAUACUCUCAAAUGCCCAGUUCCAACUUUCAAAAGAUGCUUCAAACUUACUAGAGAUACCAACAAAAGAUCUCCUACCAUGCAUAACCACUUUACCUUUGAUGUUCCGGAGAAUCCAAUAAGCUCCAGCUUGAUGAUUAUCUUUGUCCCAAACAGAAGCUAUAUCACAUUUUAGCCAAAAAUUUGGAGGAGGUUUCCAACCAAAGAUAAUUCUUUUUUUCCUUUCUAAAUCAAUGGCUUUUUCUUGACUAUCAGCAUCCUUAAUCAUGUACUAUUGAUCCACUUCUUGAAAAAUAUCUUUAGUAAAGGAGAUACCUAAAGAUAUUUUUCCUUCAAAAAAGAAAGCGUUCCGGUUCUUCCAUAUAGACCAUAUGAUCCAAGGACCAGUUCUUCUAAUGUAUUCAGGAAUGAGAAGAUUGUUCCUUGUCUUUAAACACAAUAAAUGUUGGAAUAGACUGGCGAAGAAUCAAAACCAUCAAGAGGAUGAAGGAAGUUACUAUUCACCCAAGUUUGCCUCGCAAUGGUGCAAGAGAAUAUGCCAUGAUUUAAUGAUUCACCCUCCAAUUCAUAUAUAUGACAUCGAGUAUCAAUUUUCAUACCUUGAUCUAUGAGGUUGUCUGUGACUGGCAAUGCUUCACUGAUAGCUUUCCAAAGAAAUAUCUUGAUUUUUGGAGCAGUAUUGAAAGAUCAGAUACACUCCUUAAUACCAUUUAAAGACGACAAUAUACCUCAUGCUACAAAAGCUUUUUACUUGCUUCCUUUUCAGCUAGCAAUAUCUAGAUCUUACUGAGUAUUCCCCGAAGCGGGAAUGAUUCCAAAUGAAGAAGUCUGACGAAGUGAUAACUGGCUUGAUCUUGAGAAUAAUCUACAUAUUUUGGGGAUAUAAGAGAUCAUUCAAUAAGAUGAGGUUCCAAUGAUGAAAGUUAUCCAGAAGAAGGUCGCUUAUUCUAAGAUUUAAAUCAACUAGAAUGUUCUUGAUAAGGGGGAUACACAUCCUAUCACCAUCUACCAGCCAAGAGGAAGACCAGACCAAGAGACACUUACCAUCUCCAACCAUGUGUCUUAGACCUUUUACUAAAAGUUCUCUGUCAUAUAAAAUACUCCUCUAAGCAAAAGAAGGCCUAGAACCUAAAGGAGCUAAUAAAAAGGAAAAUAUAUGCUCUUUAAAAAUCUGCUGAGAAGGGAAAAAAGAAAAGAGAGGAUUCUCUAAGCUUGUUUAGCUAGAAGAGCUUGAUUCUUAAAACCCAGUCCUCCACGAUCUUUAGGAACACAGAGUUUAUCCCAGCUAAGCCAAUGUAUUUUUCCUUUAUCUUCAUGAGAAUACCACCAAAAUGUAGCCAUGGCUUAUGUCAAAUUCUUACAAGUCAUCUUUGGAAGUCUGAAACAACUCAUAGCAUGAAUAGCAUUGCUAGAGUUACAUAUUUUAAGAUGAUUUUUUUUCCUGCUUGAGAAAGAAAUUUAGUAUACCAUCCAAACAUUCUACCCUUCAUCUUGUUCUGAAUAUAGUUAAGAAUUUCAAUCUUAGAACCACCAAAACAUUACGGAAGACCUAAGUAAGACCCAACUCCACCUUCAGAGAAAGUUCCCAACGUAAAUUGAAUAUGCUCUUUCAAUCUCUGAUCAAUAUUCUUCCGGAACGUGAGAUAUAAUUUUGCAAGAUUUAUUACCUGUUAUGUAGGUUCUUCAUAUUUGUUGAAAAUCUCUUGAAAAGCAUGACAUUGAGACAAGUCAGCCUUGAAGACAAACAAACUAUCUUCCACAAAAAAACAAAUGAUGAAUAAUAGGCCCAUCAUUAGAGAACUAGAUACCUUGCAAAGAACCAUUGUCUGGGGCUUGAUUGAGCAUGUGAGUAAGUCCUUCAGCACAGAGAACAAACAAGAUAGGAGAAAUCGGAUCACCUUGUCUAAAACCAUGUUAUGGAGAAAUGAAACCAUAGGAUUGACCGCUGAUAAGAACCAAAUACUUAAUUGUUGAAACGCAAGCCAUAAUCCAAGAUACCUAUUUGCCAUCAAAUCCAAGAGAAGACAAAAGAGCUUCCAAGUAGUUCCAUUCAACUCUAUCAAAAGCUUUGGACAUAUUCGUCUUGGCUGCCAUAAAAUUCCUAGAAACAAAAUCAUGAGUACGAAGACUAUGAAUCGCUUCAUGCGCCAUGAUAAUGUUAUCAGAAAUAAGCCUAUCUGAAACAAAGGCCGACUGAGACAGUAAGACAAUAUCAAAAAGGCAAGACUUGAGUCUUGAAGCAAGGAUCUUUGAUAUUGUCUUGUACAUAACCGAACAGAAGCUGAUUGGUUGAAGAUCAGACAUUAAUGUAGCAUUAGUCUUCUUAGAAAUUAGACAAAUCUGAGUGUAGUUCCACUCUGAAAGCAUGAUACCAGAAUCAAAAAAAUGAAAGAACUUCUUUUGUAAGCCGAUCACCUAAAAUUUUCCAAUAGGAUUGAAAGAAGAAACCAAACAUCCUGCUCAGAAAGCACUAUCUGGCUUAAUUAAGAAAAAUGCUUCCUUAACUUCAUGAGGGGUUACCUUUUGAGUAAGGUAAUGAUUCAUUCAUCCAGAUACUCUAGACGAGAGGUCUCUAAACAAGUACUUAUAGUCUUCAGAAUUUGAAGAUUUAAAAAGGUCCUUGAAAUAUUGAAUAGCUACCUGACCUUUAGAAGCUUCAGACCUUUGAGCGUUGCUAUCUUUAUCAAAGAAUUUGACAAUCUCAUUCUUUGCUCUAGAAAUCUUAACAGCCGCAUGAACCACUUCAGUAUUUCCAUCGCCAUAGAGGAUCCAAUCAUCUUUACUCUUUUGUUUCCAAAAAUUCUCCUCAUCUCUAUAAGCCAACAGAAGAUCUUUCUUGAGGCUAACCAUCCUGAGAGUUGAGGGAUCAAGAGAAGAUUGCUCUUGUUCAAGUUCUUGAAAAUUGAUAAUCCGAACCUGAGAGUUUGCUAAGUUAUCUUUCUUCCAUUGACUAAGUGCUUUCCUGCACUGACAAAGACGAGAAGAAACUGAAGAAGAGUCAUAAUAAUCAGGCGAGUUCCAAGCCAUCUGAAUAGCUUCUUUAACCAGAGGCUUUUGAAGCAUUCUCUUAUCAAAACGAAAGGAACCUCUAUAAGAAUCUUGAGAUGACAAAAGUUUAAUCACCAUCGACUGAUGGUCCGAUCAUCUCUUAGCUAGAAAGGCUUGAUUAGAUGCAGGGAAUUGUUUAAACCACUCUUUGUUACCAAAAGCUCUAUCAAGCUUACUUUGGAUCCAAAGGUUUUCCCUUUUACCUCCCCAAGUAAGACAGUUUUCUGUACCUGGAAGUUCAAUCAAGAGUCUAUCAUGAAAGCAAAAGGCAGAAAAGAGUUAUCACUUUUGCGAGGGACACCGGUCUUCUCCGAGUUAUUUAAAAUUUCAUUGAAGUCUCCAAAAAUACACCAACUACUCUUACGAUUGACACCAAAGCGUGUUAGACGUUCCCAGACAAUGUGACGAAGACUAAUAAUAGGAUUCCCAUAAACACACGACAAAUAUAACUGCUUAUCUUCAUAUAAUAUUUGUACAUCCAAAAUAUUUUUGUUUGCAUACAAGAUAUGAAUACACUGUUUUUUCCAAAAAAAAAGCAAGACCACCAGCUGUAUUUACAGGGUCUACAGUGUACAACCGAUCAUAUCCUAGCCAAACUUGGAUAUCUACUAGAGUAUUCCGUUGAUUCAUAGUUUCCAUAAGAAAAAGAUCUCAGGGAAGUACGUACGUCGCAAUUCCAUGAGCCUUUGAACUAUCAGUUCUUGAGGACACCCCACUCCUCGACAGUUCCAACUGAUGAUACUCAUAUUAAGCGUUGGACGGUCUCUCACGUGGAACCAUCAUUGAUGCAUUGCUCUUAGCAGUUUUGGAUGCACCCACCAAAUCUCCUUCAACCUUUCUGUUUUUCUGCACACUCCCUUCAGGACAAGCUUGUAUUCCAAGAGAUUCUGAUACUUCUUGAGUGUUCUUCCGUGGUUUAGUAGUCUUCAUGUAGUUUCAUGGCGUCCUUUUACUUUUUGUUUGAGUCGUUGUUGCGUUAGAUGAGAACAUUAAAGGAGAGCUUGAUUGUUGAACUAGAGAGCUUCCAGGAACUUGCAAAGCCAGUCGACAAAACACGUUUGUAGUUGGGUUGAUCAUAGACUGUCUUGCUGAUAUUGCUAACGCCAUGAGCUUAGGUUGAGAACCGGAGAAGUGAGACUGUUGUGCCAGAUCACCUUUAUCAUAACCAAAGACUAGACCUUUUCCUUUAUUCAAAUCUUUAAUAAAGAUAGGAGGUGGAAUGAGUUGAAGAAAUGACUUAUGGUGAUGGGAUUCUGUUCUACUUCUUUAACACAGGAGAUUACCCUUUGUUCACGAACUUGUCAAUCUUCAUUACUUGAGGAAAGAAGAUAGCCACGCAUGUCUUCUAGAAUCUUAGGAGCAAUUAUAGGCCGACAAGAAAUAUGAUUGAUUCCUUUGAUCUUCUUUUAGGACACCAAACAGAGGUUCAUUCUCAGAUAGAACCUGAGGGGGUUCUGUAGACAUGAAACUAGAAGAGCGAAUAUUUGAGCUUUGUGCAUGUUCCAGAAAAGGACAUCGUUUUUUUGCAUGCGUUAAUCUUUGACAAUGGUAACAACGUUUCAGCACUUUUUCAUAGUAGUAAUAAAUUGUGGUCUGACCACCACCCGGAAAAUUCAAAACUCUUGAUUUCUUCAAUGGUUUGGAGACAUUAAAGCGGAUCUUGACCCUGACAUAGUCCCGACUUUGUGGUUUUUCUGGAUCGAAAGCCACUCCUUCUACAUGGCAACGAGAUCACCGAGAUCAGAGAUAACUCUCUUGGUAUUGUGAUUGACCGGAAUGUUGCUGAUCCUGACCCAGAUUGACACAUAUUCGAGGUAACCCGGAGGAGGCUUCUCGAUCCAUCGCUCAAUAGUUAAACCCCAGUCGUCAAAGGUUUGCAUGCCUUUAUCUUGAAUUUCUUGCAGAUAAUGCUCAUGAUUAAAUACAAACUGGAAUCUUUCUUUUGUUAAAGCAAAUCCACGAAGUCGAUUAGAUUUUUGCCAUUUUUUGGUAGAUCAUAGAUCAGUUUAGAGAUUCUCUGAAGUUCUAGGUUGAGAAGACGACUGAUAAUACUGCAUGCAUUCUUUUCAGAUGCGUAAUACUUAGAAAGAUUUGGAAGAUUGAAAGGACUAUCAUCAUCAUCUAUGAGAGAGGGAGAGAGCAUCACUCUAUCCAUUUCAGAAGACAUAAUGAGAUUAAAGUGGGAAUAGAUGGAAGAUGAAAAGAAUAAAACGGUUUAAUCGAAAAAACACAUAAAAGAUUAAAGACUUGAAGUUUUUUUUUUGAUCGAAGAAACUACAAAAGAGAAACUAAAGCUCCAAACAAGAUUUUCUAGAGAGAAGUUGUUGAGUUCUUUCACAUUUAUUUAUAACUGAUAUCUACUGCAUCCACUUACUUUCUAUAAAUUUAAUCAAAAAUUAUCUGGGCAUAUUAAAAACCAACUAGAAAAAUCUAGUUAGUGAUCAAAACAAAUAUAACUCUGAUGGUACAUACAUUUUUGGGCAAGCAAUUUGAAGUAAAACUAUUUUGUUACUGCAUACAUUUUUCAGCAUGAACAAAAAGAAUGAUAGCACCGGAGUUUUAAAAGUCCAACAUCGUACAUAAUCCAUCACCAGUAAUCAACUAUUAUGGAGAGGAAAAGUUCCCAAUAGUAUACUUUUGUCUUUUUCUCUUAUUACAGCCCGUCAAUUUAGAAAACUGUAUAUAGAAAGUGAUGCAAGAAUGAUGGUUUGGCAAAAUUCAAUAAGAGAACUAUGAAAACUAUUUAGCUUCAAUUUGACAAAAAAAAAUUCAAACAUGUAGAAAUGGGGUAAAAACUUUUAUAAUUAGUGAGAAAAAGACACCCUUUAAUGAAGAAAUAAUAAAAGGAAAGAUUCGUCUCGUCGCUUCCUUUAAGUUCACAUCCCUUUCAUCUCUCUCUCUCUCUCUCCAGCUCUUUAUUUAUGUAUUAAUCCAAUCAAUUUUAUGAGGAAUGUAGUGGUUAUUAACUUACUAUUAGUAAAGCGAUCUAUCUACUAGAAUUAAUUUGGAAGAACAGUAUUUAUCUGAUUUGUAAACUGUUCAUUCAGUGCGUUACGAAGAUGAUUAGUAGUAGUAAUUGCUAAACAACAAUUAUUUGUCCAUAUUGCAUAACUCCAAAUGUAGUAUUUUUAUCUUCACCUCGAAUUUCGCAGAAAAAAAAAGAUAAAACAAAGCUGCUUUCCCCCCUCCCCCUUUCUCUCUGUGUCUCUGUAUGUGUGGCUUUACCUUUCGUACCUAAACCUAUCACUCACACACUCUCUCUCUCUUUCGCUCGCUAGCUGUUUUCCUCUCUGUUCUUCGUCGUCUUCUUCUCACAGAAGCUGCCACUGAUGUGAGUUCACAACGCUCGCUCUCUCCCCGAUUUGUCUAACGUUAUUUCACUGAUUUGUGCUUUAGCUUACACAUUGCACUACUAGAUUCCCCGAUCUGAUCUGGGGGCCUUUUUUAAGUUUCUUCAUACUGUUUUGUUAUUCACAGAGAAAUAAAGAAAGAGCUAUGGCGGGAGGUGGAGCUCCAGCACCGAAAGCAGACGAACCUCAACCUCAUCCUCCCAAAGAUCAGCUUCCAAACAUCUCUUACUGCAUCACCAGUCCCCCUCCUUGGCGUCAGUUCCUUCUCUCUUCUAGAUUUGUUUUUGCUUUAUUCGGUUUUGUUCUUCUCCACCUAAUACGUGUGUUUUCUAGCUCUUUGCUUUUCGUCAGAUUUAGUUUCCUAAUUUUGCUUUUUAAGCAGGAGACUGUUAUUCUCUUGAUUUGUGUGUGUGUUUUUUUGCCUGAUUUGUUGAAUAUCUAUGCCCAGAUUUGUGGUUUUUUUUUUUGUCUCAUGCUCUCUCUCUCUCUGGAUGUGAUUUGGUGAGUUGUUUUGGACUUACAUAUCUCUUCCUAUGCUUGUGUUUCAGCUGAAGCUAUUCUCCUUGGCUUUCAACAUUACCUUGUCAUGCUCGGCACUACAGUUCUCAUUCCUACUGCUCUUGUUCCCCAGAUGGGUGGUGGCUAUGUAAGGCUUUAAACUUAUGCUAAUACAUAGGAAGAUAUGUUUGUCAUUUGACUGAAAUGAUCUUUGCUCUGAUUUCAGGAAGAGAAGGCAAAGGUGGUCCAGACUAUUCUCUUUGUUGCCGGCAUCAACACAUUGCUCCAAACUCUUUUCGGCACCAGGCUGCCUGCUGUCAUUGGAGCUUCUUACACUUUUGUGCCAACCACUAUUUCCAUCAUCCUCUCUGGCAGAUUCAGUGAUACCUCCAACCCUAUAGAUGUAUGAUGAUGACUUCUCUUUUUGAUUGCUUCUUAUGUGACUCUUUGUUGGUCCCUAUUAAUUAUCAAUCACGUUUCAAUUGUUUUUUUUGCAGCGCUUUGAGAGGAUUAUGCGAGCAACCCAAGGCGCCUUGAUUGUUGCUUCAACCCUACAGAUGAUUCUUGGUUUCAGUGGUCUCUGGCGUAAUGUUGUUAGGUUAGUCUGGUAGUCUCAAACAUUCGUCUUUCCCUUGCCCAAUAUUAGAUAUUCCAGAAACAAUCCCAUGUAACUUUUCCUUUUGUAUUUCAUUAUUAGGUUCUUGAGUCCUAUUUCAGCUGUUCCAUUGGUGGGUCUCGUUGGAUUUGGGCUAUACGAGUUUGGUUUCCCUGGGGUAAGUCUACUUUAUGGACACUUACAAGCAGAGACCAAAAACUCUUUUUUUUUUUUUUUGUUGCUUCCACUUGUUAAUUUCCCUUUUAAUUUCAGGUUGCUAAAUGCAUAGAGAUUGGGCUGCCUGAGCUUCUUAUCCUCGUAUUUGUUUCACAGGUAAUUUUGUAACUAAACACUAUAAAUGUAUCUAGCUUCCAAAAUAAGGUUUAGAUUUGUGUAUGGUUGGUUACCUGAUUUCAUAUUCUGAUGUUUCAUGUUGCAGUAUCUGCCUCAUGUGAUCAAAUCAGGGAAAAAUGUGUUUGACCGGUUUGCUGUAAUAUUCGCGGUGGUGAUUGUAUGGAUCUAUGCUCACCUUCUUACAGUUGGUGGGGCAUACAAUGGUGCUGCACCUACUACACAAACAAGUUGCCGGACUGAUCGUGCUGGCCUCGUUGGUGCUGCUCCAUGGUAAUUAUUUACAACUCAGCUGUAUAUAUGUGGCUGCAGCUCCUAGAAUAACGUUUGCUGUUUAAGCAGAAGAAAAGAGCAUGAAUAAUCAGAAGAUAAAAUAUGAUUAAAUAGUAAUCUUCAUUGGACUUGUUGUUAAAUUAGUUUAAGUUUUUUACUUUAUGCAGGAUAAGAGUUCCAUGGCCUUUCCAGUGGGGUGCUCCUUCGUUUGAUGCUGGAGAAGCUUUUGCAAUGAUGAUGGCUUCCUUUGUUGCUCUAGUUGAGGUAUGUCACUAUAUGCUUCACAUUUUAAUCUUUCUAAAUAAAUUGAUUAUGUUCUGUUAUUCUGUUUAUUCAUUCUGUCUUCUUGAUUCUCAUGUGUAUGGCUGACCAUUAUAGUCAACCGGUGGUUUUAUCGCUGUCUCAAGAUAUGCAAGUGCAACGAUGUUACCACCUUCUAUUCUCAGCCGUGGUGUUGGCUGGCAGGUAACUUAACCAAACCUAAGCUUGCAAUGUUGUGGAGUAAAUAUUGAUUUUGAGGCUGAUUAUGGCUUGUUUUGUGGAUCAGGGCGUCGCCAUUCUGAUAUCGGGGUUGUUUGGCACUGGUGCUGGUUCCUCUGUCUCUAUGUAAGCAUCUCUGAGAUGAUUCAUGUUCUGAGUUGAUUAUUUUCUCCAGAUGUAUAUAUGGGUAUGAAAUUUCUUUUCUCUUUCUUUUGUGAAGUGAAAAUGCAGGACUAUUAGCCUUGACAAGAGUUGGUAGUCGAAGGGUUGUCCAGAUAGCUGCAGGCUUCAUGAUCUUCUUCUCUAUUCUCGGUAAGUUUAAAGGUCAAAUCUAAGUUCAACUGGCUGAAGAAAAAGCUUUUGUUUGAAAAUGUAUCUGUAUUGAAGAUGUAUCAUAUGUUAAUGCAGGAAAAUUCGGAGCUGUGUUUGCGUCAAUCCCUGGACCCAUUAUUGCUGCUUUGUACUGUCUCUUCUUUGCCUACGUUGGAGCUGGAGGAUUGAGUUUUCUUCAGUUCUGCAACUUAAACAGCUUCAGGACUAAGUUCAUCUUAGGCUUCUCUGUCUUUCUGGGCUUGUCAAUCCCUCAAUACUUCAAUGAGUACACUGCAAUCAAAGGCUAUGGUCCAGUCCACACAGGCGGUCGUUGGGUAUGUAGUAACCAACUCGCUCUUUUUCUUGUCUUUUCUCUCUUUCCAUAUAAACAGAACUUUGGUAGAGUGACUAGAGCAUGCAUGGCCUGAGCUAAAUGAAACUCUUAUUCUCUUACGGUGGCAGUUCGACGAUAUGGUGAAUGUCCCGUUCUCAUCAGAACCUUUUGUUGCUGGCAUGGUCGCCUUCUUCUUGGACAACACACUGCACAAGAAAGAUUCAUCGAUAAGGAAAGACAGAGGGAAGCAUUGGUGGGACAAGUUCAGAUCUUUCAAAGGUGACACAAGAAGUGAAGAGUUCUACUCUCUUCCUUUCAACCUCAACAAGUAUUUCCCUUCUGUCUAGAAGAGAAGAGAGAGAAGAAGCAAAGAGUUUACCAAAAGAAAAUGGUGGAAAACUCAGGAGUUUCGCCAUUGUUGCUUGAGUUUCUUGACGACCUCUGUGUCUUGGUUCUUUUGUUCUGUUCCGUUCACAACUUCGGAAACCUUUUUAAAUAUCUUUCACAUUUUAUAGUCUUGUUUACAAGAAUGAUCAUCUCAAGAAUCUUCAGUUGUAUUGUUGCUUACUAUCUCUCCCUAAUGCGUUUGUCUUUGUAAAUCCGAGGGUACACAGCUUUGUUAUUUUGAUUAGAUUCUUAAUAAGUAUUUAGUUUGAUUUUGCCUCUCUUUCUUACUAAAUUUAAAAGUUUAUGUUGAUAUAUAAAUUUGAUUGGUUGAAUUUAACCAAAAAUUGAAUUAACGUAUAUAUUGUUUAAAAAAGAAUUAAGGUAUAUAUUGUUUUUAGAUCACUUCUAAAAAAAAAACCACUAAACUAUGAGUCUAUGACUUAAACAUUUUGAUAUUGAAAUCAUCCUAGCUUACUGGUUAAUAUUUAAAAAUUUCUACAUCCAGAUUUUUUUACACCCAAGUUUUUUUACAUCCAUAUCUGAGAUUCGAAUUCCAGACUAUAUAAUUUUUUACAGAUUAUAGGAUGUAAUUUUUCAGGAGUUCUAAAGUACCGUAGGCAAAGCCUGUUGUGAUCAUCUGCUGCGAAAAGAGCUUGUCCAUCGAUAAUAUCGUACAUACAUAAUCGUCUGUCAAUCUAAAUGUUUCGGGAAAAGCUUCAUCGUAGAAUUAUUGUCCGUCAAAUUUAUUCAUCAUUAUUACAUAUGUUGCAGAUAGUUGAUCAUCAUAUCAUAUGUAAUAAAAUUUGAAAUUAUACGAUGAUGGAAUAUAUGCUACCAUCCCAUGUUAAAAAAAACAUUUUGAUUGUGAGCGCAACAAUUAAUAUUGAAUAUUUGUAUACGUAUAUUAGUAAGAAAAUACUUAUACUGGACACUUACAGUUAGAGGUUUAAUUAUAUGUAUACUGAUAAGAUCCAUAGUUAUUUAAUUGGUUUUUUUCUUUAACAACUUUUUCUUUACUCAAUUGGUCAUAAUGAACGUUUUAAAGAAAAUGGUCAUAUACGAGAGAAUGGCCUUUCACUCUUGCGUGAGGUUUUUGGUCUCUCUGCAAUAAAAUACACUCGAAAGAGACAUUAGGGCAACUUUCGCUUGUUAUCUUAUUUAAUGGUCAAGCAAAAGUUAAUAUCGCUUUGUUUUAUAAGGCUGAUCGAACUCAUUACGUAAUUAAUUAAGUGUACACAAUUAUUAACGCUUAAUACGACACUGGCUUUCAGGAGAUCGAGAUAAAGUGUACAGUAGGCAUGUGAAUAAGGUUGAUUGCACGAGGGCGUAUUAUUACUUCAUUUUUGGUUGUCAUUUCCUUAUAUAAUUUUCACUAAAACACUCAUCAUUGCUUAAAAAAUACCAAGAUUUUAUAAAGUUGCUUUCUCAUAUACGUAUUUCAUUAUUAUUCUGAGGAUAUUACAUCUUCGCAUUCAAAUUGUAAGAAUUGCAUACAGGUAAUUAAAGAACUAUAGAACUAUUGAUUAUCCAAAUUUGGGAUUUAAUUAUUUCUUUUAAAUCUAGUACAUGACACACAAUUUACUCGGCAUAUCUGGAUUAAGCUGCUUUUUCUAUUAUAUAUACCGAUAAAUAUUUGAUUAAUUAGGGUGAACUUAAUCAAAAUGUUAGCAUUAGCAUUAGCAUAUACAAGAAUCAAAAUGGUUAGUAGAUUCAAAGUAUCAAAGGCUUGAAGAUUUAAUUAACAUUCAUAGAGAAUCUACUUUCCAUGAAAGAUUCCAGCCAAGCAAGCACUUGGCUUUGUACGGACAAUCCAAAACAUUGAAAAAUAAAAUAAAAUUUGAGCAAUGACCAUGAUUAUUCCAUCUCUUAUUUAGUUUAACUCUUAUUACUUCACUAUUAAAUUUGUGUAUUCAAUUAUAUAGCUAGCGCCUGGUGGUAUUAAACCGACGCGUUUAUCUCCCUUGUAGUUUUUCAUUUUAGACUUAUGGUAAACCUCUGAUCGAAUAUAAAUACUAAAAUUAGGUACAAGAGAAUAAAUUAUGAAAGGUAUAUAUAAAGAAAUGUUAAAUUUGAUCUAAAAUAAAAUGGUCCUGGUAUAUAUAAAGUCAGAUUCUACCCAAAUAUAGACCUCCCACCUACGCUUGCUCUCUCACUCCUCUAUCUCCUACUUUUCUCCGCCGUGAAAUGGGGAACUGUCAGGCAGUGGAGACGGCAACGGCGGUGUUGGAACGACCGGACGGCAAGUCGGAGAGAUUUUACUGUACAGUGAGCGCGAGCGAGGUGAUCAAGUCUCAUCCCGGCCACCACGUCGCUCUCCUCAUCUCGUCCUCCGUACCUAACGGUGGCUCUCUCCGCGUCACCCGAAUCAAACUGCUCCGUCCUUCGGAUAAUCUCUUGCUCGGCCAUGUGUAUAGACUCAUCUCUUCCGAAGGUAUUAUCACUCACUCAAUCUCAUGCAAAAUAGCACAUAACGUGGAUGGGUUUUGAAUUCAAGAAGACAAACUCUAACUAGGUUUUAGGGGUUUCUCCAAUUUGUUUCUUGAGCUUCACGCUUGCCUAAUAGAUGAAGUUUUAUUUAUGUAAAUCAUUUUGAUUGCCUUUUUAUUUAAUUAUAGAGGUAAUGAAAGGAUUAAGAGCCAAGAAAUCUGAAAAGAUGAAGAAGAUCCAUGGAGAAUUUUCUGUUGCAGAAGAGGAGGAGAUUAACCCACUAACCCUAAGAUCUGAAUCUGCAUUUGACAAAGACUCUCAGGUACAUAUACAUACAACCAUAAUUGAUCUGUAUCACUUUUACUUCUCUAAUUCUAACAAACAGUAAUUGUAUAUGCUAAAUAGAACAAGAAUGCGAAUUUUAAGAACUUUGAAAUUGAUUCGUGAAAGCAUAUUAAUUAGAUUAAUGUUUAAUUAACAGAGAAGGAUGAAUGAAAAACAGAGAGUGAUAAAGACAGGAGCUACCAACAAAGUUAGAGCUUGGCAGCCUUCUCUUCAAAGCAUAUCAGAAUCUACAAGCUAAAACGUUAAUUCAUAUUUUACUCUUUUUUCAUUUGAGUUUUUGAUCAUUUGAUUUAUCUUUCUAUUGUUGUUUUUCCCAAUCAAAUUGUAAUUAAAGGAAGAAAAGAAAACCCUUUUGAUUGUGGCAGAUGAAGCUCUUGUGCAUUUCUUUUAAAUUACUAAUAAACUAGUAUAUAUUAAUCAAAGGAGAUCUAAUAUUUUUUUUUUCAUUUCUAUAAUUUAGAUGGUCAUGAUAAAUUUUUUCGCAGUUCUAAAAAGUUAAAUGUGGCAUCUACUCAUACCUUGGUUUUAUUACUUUAUACUUUUAUCAUCUCACUCAGACCUAAAUACAGGUGUCAAUUCGAACUGGUCCGGUCCAGCCCAAAUCCAUGAACUCCAUAAAAAUAUUUGAAUCCGAUCCGAUCUGGAAAUAUUUGGACCUAGAAUCAAAGUUCGGCUCGGUCCCUAUUGGGCUUUUCAGGUUUUUUUUGGGUAUUUCGAAAAAGAAAUUGUCAUUGUCGUUUUUAUUGUUUUAAUAUAUGUGAAUUUUCACCAAAAAAUAAAGUUUCAUUUUUUGUUUUAAAAUAUAAACCGAGUCUAAAUUUUUCUUCUUUAUCAAAAAUGUUAUACGAAUAAAAAUAUUUUACUUUUUGGUAUGCUUUAAAACAUAUUAUAAACAAAUCAAAUUUAAUAAGAUUUAAAUAAUCAAAUAUAAAUUAAAACUAAAUAUACAAAAGAACAAAAUUUAUGAUAAACAUGGUCAAACGUUUCAUACUUUGUAUUUUGAAAUAAAAAAAUAUGUUGUAGAUAAAAGAAGAAAGUGUAAUUUUUCUCAUAAUUGUAAUACCAUAAUAAAUUAACGUUAAAAAGUACAUUUGCAAAAUUAAAAAUGUGACAUUUAUAAUGAUCAAACAAUAAAGUGUAUUAACAGCUUUUAUAUUUACUUUAUUAGAGUUUGGAUAAAAAUAUUUAAAUUAUAUGCCAAUACUAAUAAUAGUUUUGAUUGCAAAAAUAAUAAUAUUUAAACUAAAGUAUAAAAUUUUGGGUUUUCGGGCCGGGCCUAGCCCAAAUUGACUUCGAUCCGAAAAAUCUAAAGCCCAAAUAGACUUAGCUCGACAGACUCAAUUUUUUUGGACUUAUAAAACUAAGUUCAAGUCCGGUAAUUUUUAGGAUUGGACAUAUUCGGACUGAGGACUUCAGUCGUAAUUGACACUAGAUCUUAACCCGCCCGACUGGGCGGGUCUAUAUUUUUAUGAUAUAUAUAUAAACAUUUGCAGAUCUUAAUCUUGAAAUGUUGAGAACAAACAAUAUUUUAUUUAGAUUUUAACAAAUUUACAGCUUUAUGAAAAAUACAUAUUCUAUUUUAUGUAUAUUCAUUUGUUUAUGGAAAAUUACACGAAGCCAAAUAUAUCAAUUCAAUAUGGUUAAAAAAUCAUGUGUAUUAUAUAUUUCGUAACUGGAUGUGUAAGAUCUGUCAAAUUGUUAUACAGUAUUUAAAAUCUAUAUUAUUAUAAUCUAUAUUAAUACAAUUAUAGGGGAACCUUAUUUAUAAUUAAUGAAAAAAAUGUUGAAAAGGCAAUAUAUAUUACAUCAGAAACUGUUUGUUCUUAAUAUAUGAUAAAUACUUUUAAAAUAUGUAAGAAUAAGGUUUUGAAAAUAAUUUUUUUCACAUAAAUAAAUAAUAAUAAUAGAAAAACAAAGAUAAAAUAAUAAAUGUAAUUUGGAGAGGUAGUUAUUCGAUAUUAACCUCCAGCACUCGUAACUGUAAAGUUCUCAAUAAACCGCUAUUCACCAAUAGGAAGGUUGCGCUGUAGACGAUACAUCUGAUUUCUUUUGGCAGAAGCAUGAAGUUUCUCACCCUAAACACAAUAUAAAAGCUGAUAUUAAUAUUUUUUGCUAAUAUAAACAACAAAAUCGAUAGAGUAUUACAUAUAAGAGACAAUAUAUAUAUAUAUAUAUAUAUAUAAAAUCAAACUUACUUGUUCAUCCACGAGAACGCAUUCGAGAGAUUUACCAGAGUUGUUGUUUAUCUUACAUGAGUGAAGACACUUCACAUGUACUCGCCAAGUGUCUUUGAAGGGUUUGACUUGGUUAAGAAAAACCAAACUCUGCUUGUUCGACAAAACCAAACUACUUUACUUGUUAGACAUUUUAGUUUUUUUUUUCUUUGCUACGGUGAGUAUGAAGAAUAUGAGGGGAAGGUUUAUAUAUAUAGUGGGUUAUACGUAAUCUAAAGAUUUUUUUUAAAAAUGUAAUAGCACGAUUUUUGUGGAGUCAAUCAAGGAAGAUAUAUAUUAGUUGCCUAAGUAACUAAAUUUGUUAGCACAAAAAGAGAAUAUUCGGUUGUUAUACUUAAAAUGGUUUUGAUAAUUUAUUAUUUGAAAAUUGGAUAAAGAAGGUGUGAAAUGAGGGAAUCAAGUAAUUAGGAUUCUCGUUUAGAUAUGUUAGUUAGUUUUUUUUUUUUUUUUGACAGCAGAUAUGUUAGUUUGUAAGAUCGAUAUAUGUGGAGUUAAUGUGUUGGAAUUAUGUUUUUGUUAUGUUUAGAUUUUGUGUAUAUUUUUUUUUGAAAUAUAUGCCUUAUUUUUAACUUGGAACUUACGUUCUAUUAAAAUCUAGCCGUUUUUAUUAAUCCUAUUUUAAGUUAAAAUCUAAAGUAUUAAAUAUAUGCUUUAUUUUGUUUUGUUCACGUUUUUAAAAAGCAUGUCGAAUUUUUAAAUUAAAAUCUAAAGUAUUAACUAUAUCUAUGCAUCCAAACAAAACAGUUUUUAUUAAUCCCACUAUUCAUAUACCCAAACAACUCUCAAAUGUACUUCAGUUUUAAUAAUAUAGAUGUGUAGACAUAAAUACUAAGACCAUGAUUAAGCUCAGUAUCUUAAUUGGGGUUAUUUGCUUCGGUUAAGAGACAGUUUUUAUCUUUUUUUAGAUUUUAACUAAGAAAAACUAAGAACCGUCUCUUAAGUAAGAGAUAUAAGAACCGUCUCUUAGUCGAAAAGUGUAAACAAAAAAACAAAAAAAAUAUCAAAUCAUGAAUUAAGAACCCCGGCUAAAAGACCGGGGUUAAUCAUACCCUAACGUCUCUCUUGAUGCAACUAGAUGACAGUAAAUUUCCAUAAAACACUAAAAUGAUGAUUUUGGCUUAAUUGUCUUACAAUAGAUUAAAAAAAUUAAACCAUUUACCAAGUUUAUAACAUUUUUUACAUAUUAUAUAUCAUAUACGUGUCAUGUCACGUUUGCUAUGGAUUGUUAUCAAUUGGUGAAGAUGGUUUCGGAACCUGAAGAAUAGCUAGCAUUUGAAGGCUACCUGGAAAAUAUUAAGCUUCUUAGAAGAAGUUUCCUCAACUCAGAAAUCAUUCAUGUUUUUCGAACGGCGAACCUCAAGGCGGAUAGCUUAGCAACACAGUGAUAGAAAACAACCGUUUUUCGUCGUACAUAUACAGAGUUACCACUUUGUUUUACAGAGUCAACACGAGUCUGUGAAUGUUUGCUGUCAAAAAAGAAAAAAAAUAUAUAUAUAUAUAUAUAUCAUAUACGUGCUGACAAACCAGGAUAUAUUGACUAAAAACAUUUAAUUAAUUUACUAAAAUUAAAUAUCCAACGUAUAAGAAUUAUUCAACUCAACAAUGUCACGAAUUUUAAUUGUUUGGAGUUUGACUAGUUAUAUUACAUGAAUCAUCAAUGAUAUUGCCAAAAAUCGAAAAUUCGAGAAUGAUUAUAAAUAGAGCGAUAAAAACUAACACAUUGUAUAUUUGCUUUGGUGAAAAAACUGCUGACUGAACAUAAAAUCUUUGUAUGAAAAAAUAAAUAAUCAUAGGAGAGAGAGUAAAUUGUGUAUAGGCCAACACCGAAGAGGAAAACAUCAUCCACAAGUUUGCAGUUGUGUAUAGACACCGCGCACAAAAACAUCAUCAAAGAUCUUUUGAGAAAGGUAAUAAGAUAUUUACUUUCCCAUGGCUCUUCUUACACCACAUAGUUUAUCUCACUCACACGUGCGGAUUCACCGACUUACAAAGGAGAUCACACCUACUAAUGUCAAAACUAAGGGUAAUAUAGUCAUUAUCGUGUCGAGGAAAUGUCUGAACGGAGAAGAGGAGUUUCCGUUAUCCUUUUUAUAUAAUCUCUGUUUUUUAUUUUUCUCUUGUCAUUUCUUUCGUUGAUUUAAUUAAUUAAUUAACAGAUAAAAAUCUGAACUUUCUUCUCCUCUCUCGAGCCUCAAGCGACCAAUCUAAUUAGGGUUUUUGUGAAUCUUCAUCCCAAUUUCAAAAUUUCAAUUACUUCACUCUGUUUUCUCUAUCAGCUCCGAAAGCAUGAUUUCAGAUUCGAUCACCAACGCUUCUGCUACAUCAGCUCCAAGCGCGAGGGAUUUCGCAAAGAAGAAGAGGGUAAAGCUCUUUCUGUUCAAAUCUCCUUAAACCUCAUCUCUUUUAUAUGAAAUUGAUUGGCUUUUUUUGGUUUUGUGAUUGCAUUGCGUUGGCAGAACAAUAAGUCUGCGGCUAAGCUGAAGCAGAACAAGCUCGGUCUCCGCCGCGAGCAAUGGCUUUCUCAAGGUAUCAUUGUAAAGCCUUCAUCUUUUCACUUGUGUCUCUCUCCUAAAGACUAAAGUUGUUGCCUUUUGCCGUUUGGUUAAUAUAUUUGAUUAUGGGUUUUGGUUUUGGUUUUGGUUUUCACUAUUAGUUGCGGUGACCAAUAAGGUCUGUAAGGAGGAGAAGAGUGCCAAGCCUGAUCAGAGAGAUAAGCCAGUGGAGCGUAGAGAAGAGGAUAGUAACGGUGGGAAUGUUGAUGUUCGUCAUGAGAGCUUUAUGGAGUCACCUUCAAACAGCUCCAUGGGAGGCACUGAUAUAAGCACUAACUUCAGUGGGAGUAGUAGUACCAGCAGUGACUUUUGCUCUGGUAACAUAACUGAAGAGGAUAAUGGUGAAGAGUGUGUGGAUGAUUGGGAAGCUCUUGCUGAUGCAUUAGCUGCCGAGGAAGAGAAUCUCCUCCAUGAGUCUGUUAAGGAGAAAGAGAGUGUUGGACAAUCAGCUUCUAAUGCGGAUGAUUCGAUCAACAGAGAUGCAGAGCAGGAUUGUUUGAGAAUGCCAUCAAGGAAGCAAAAGAGCAAUCGAGCUUGGAGGCCUGACGAUAACCUUCGCCCUCAGGGGCUACCUAAUCUGGGGAAGCAGCUUAGUUUCCCGGAGCUGGACAAGCGUUAUAGCACUGUCUCGAUUCCGUCUUCAUGUCCCAUCUGCUAUGAAGACUUGGACUUGACUGAUUCGAGUUUCCUUCCAUGUCCUUGCGGGUUCAGGCUCUGUCUCUUCUGCCACAAGACUAUUUGCGAUGGAGAUGGGCGUUGUCCAGGGUGCAGGAAACCGUAUGAAGUACAGAAUGCCAUCAAGGCUGAGACUAGUGUUCAAGGUGGUGGUUUCACUAUUCGGUUGGCUCGUUCUUCUAGCAUGUUUUGCAGGUUUUGAAAAAAAAAUGAGAGGUGUGGUUUUGGUAAAGCCGUGUUGUUUCUCUGUGUUUCAUCCCCGCAUUCUUGCUUUAGGUAAUGUGGGUAUAGUGUUGUCAUUUGGCACUCGAGAACUUUGAUCUUUGUUUUCUUUGUCAUGGAACACUGUGGUGAUGGUGAUGUAGUGUGGUGUGUGAAUACAUAAAAAGGUGGUACAGAAAAUUCAAAUAUAGAGUUUCAAUAGUGCUUGUUUGGUCUGCAACGAUUCAUGUGAUGAUAAUACCAUUAAAGGUCUAAGAGUUAUUAUGUUGUUAUAGAGUUAUAAUACCCAAGUUACUCAUUACCAGGGCUUUGCUUUAUACAAUCAUCUGAGAUCAGUUCUCAUUAUUUGUUCCUUGAGCGUAAUUCAUCGUCUUUAACAUUAUUAUUUGGAAAUUUCUGAUUAUUUUAUGAUUAGCCAACUUUCAUAUAACCAGCUUACAAUCUCUUGUAAGAAAAAAACAUGACAUCUCUAAUGAAUAAUAAUAUAAUAGUUUUGUGGUUUAUCUCUACCAUUUACAUUGCUAACAUAGUCUAUGAAUAAGCCCUGUUUCUCUGUCAACACUGAGUUUUUUACUCAGCAAAAAAAAAGACACCAGGGGGUGGAAAAUUGUAUAGGUGAUUAAGCUUUUUAAAGAUCAUGUCAUGGUAGUCUGCUUGGGAAAGCUCAGAUCUUUGUGCGUUUGAGCUGCAAGGGAACAGAUGAGUCCAAGGAGUAGACAUUCUCUGUUUCUAGCUCUCUCUUGUUAAUACUCUUUGUGAAAGAUAAAUCUUCAACUUUAAUCAGAGAAUCUCUUAUUCUUCUUACAUCCGAGAGUUUUACCGGCUUCAGUAAGAAAUCUUCAGCCCCUUCUUCAAGACAUCUGCAUAUAUAAACAAAAAUAGAAUUUAGUACAAUUUCAAUAAAGUUUAUUAAUUUUCUGGAUCAAUAAAUUUCUGUGCAGGUCUGUUUUGUUGUGUAUGUAGCAAACACUAUAACAUGGCCAAAUCAUAUAUUGAGUUGGCCAUUUUAUAAUUUCUAUAGAGAAAAAAUAUUAUUCUUUUUAUUUAAUUUGGUCCAGAGAAAAGCAUGUGAUUUCACAAUACCUACCAAAGAUUAGGCAAACAAUUUCCAACUAUUUUUAUUGUAUAAUAUCACAAUCACCAGAAACAGAAUCAAAUCUCGAAAGUAAAAGAUUUAGAAACAUAAAAAUCAUCUUGGGACCCAUGACAAAUCACCAAAUCUCACAUUUGAAUAAUUAUGCAAUCACCACCACUGAUGGCUGGUUUAAAAACUAAUCAAAUAACAUGAUGAUCUAUCUAAUAUAUUGGGGUUAAAAUUAAAUGUACCAUAAACAUCAUUCAAGACAUCUCAACUUUACUAUAACUUUUUGACUAGAUGAUCUACAUGCAAGGAACAGCAUGAAAAUAUACCUAUCAAUACGAGGCAAAAUGUUCUCAGAUGACAUAACCACCACAGGCACAUCUCUGAAAGCUGACGAUUCCUGUGAAAAAAAUACAGAUUAGAUUAGCAUAAAUAUUUAGAUUUAACUAACUGAAUUCAACAAAAUCAUCAGAUUGUAUAGUAAUUCCUUAAAGAGGGUUUGCUUACUUUGAUCUUCUUCAAGAGUUCAUAUCCAGUCAUUCCGGGCAUAGAGUAAUCCGUCAUGAUCAAAUUAACUUUCAAAUCCUGAAAAAUCGACCAAAAAACAUAACAAAUCACCGUUAACAAUUUGCUGUGAGAGCUUAAUUUCAUAUCAAAACGUUCUCAAGAAAUAGAACAAAAAAGUAUAUCGGGUGGAUUUGGAAACUGAUUCUUUACCUUACAACCGAUGGGUUUCUCGUUUACGUCUAGUCCAAGGUAUUGCAGAGCUCUUGUCGCACUAUCAACAACAGUAACUGAACCAAAACACAAACAACAUGUCCAUAAGAAUUCAAGAUUGAAAAUAAUAACGAGAUAUUGUUUUUCAAAAAAUGAUUAAUUACCUUUACAGGAAGAGACUUUGAGCAAGCGUUCUAUGAAUUUCCGAUCAACGUGACUGUCGUCGACGGCGAGAACAUGAAGAAGAUCAGGUGAUGUAAACUUGGAAGGAUCGUUAGCCAUCUCCAUUUUCAUCGGUAGCAUAACCUCAGCCAUGUGAUAUAUUGGAUCUUUAAGAGAAUAGAGAGAAGAGCAAAAUUAAAUGUUAUACUCAAAGUUGGAUGAUAUGGAAGAAUAUGAUGUUUGAAACAAUGGACGUUGAUGAGAUGUAUAUAUAUUCAAAAGUUGACAGAAAAUAAAGAGGGGAACAUAUAAAAUCGAGAGAUUUUGCAUAUCUUUUAGAUUUUGUCAACUUGCUUUCAAAAUCUUUUUUUUGUUUUUUUUAUAUAAAUAUAAAAAAUACAUCGGUGGAAAAUCGACAAUUAAUAUAAUCAAACCGAUCGGUCUGGCAUCGGUGCAAGAUAUAACCGACCCACGUGAUAUCAUUGGAUCUAUCACUUCUCCGUGCUUUCAUAUUCAACUCUUUUAUUAGUCUUGUUUCCCUUUGGAUCAUAAUAGUAUCCUUACAAACUUUGAUCAGCAGAAUCUUAUCUCUUGUGCAUCAUCACAAUCUCACCAUUAAGAGUUAAACUGACACCAAUGAUACGUGUAUUUAACAGUUAGAGUGGGCAUGACAAGUGUAAUAUUUAAACUACUCUUGUUUAUUCAUCUUCCAGAAUCAACAACUAUCGUUGCUGUAUAAGAGUGCUAUAUCCUAAACUUGAAAAGAACCUUCAAAGUUUUGUGACCCUCUAGUCAUGCACACACUUUUUAUUGAUAUUCAAACGGGAUGAUAACCAAAGAAUCCAACCAACAAAGAUAAUUUUAUAUUGAGCUUUAGAGAAAGAAAAAAGCUGCUAUAAAAAAAAGAGAGAAAAAAACUAGUAGUGGAACGAGUCCACCAAAGAUAUAAGCCAUGUUCGGAAUGUUGUCGCUAGAACGAGAGCGGCACAUAAAAAUACUAUUAACUAAUAGCUUUUUGGGACACAAAAAUAUUUUGUUAUAAGAGAAAACAGUGGUGGUCGCUGAUUUCUUCGUCUUCUUCCUCUUCUUCUUCUUCGUCUUCUUCCUGUUAAAUUGGCUCCCGAGCAAAGACGUAGCAUUUUCCAUGUGAUCCGGCUCACUAAAGAUACAAACUUCUAGUUCCCCCUUCAAGUUGGUUUCAAACUCAACUCUUCUAGUCUUGUUUUCCUUGGGGUUGUAAAAGUAUGCGUAUAACAACGUUUGAGCAGAAUCCAAUGUCUUGGGCAUUAUCACAAUUUCACCAUCAAGAGUGACACCAGCUACAAGAGUCUUUAACAUAUCAGGAAGAGACAUGUCAAUAGUAACCUUAGACCAUUCAUGUUUCUCGCUGCCAUGAUCUUUCAUAACCCACACCUCUGCUCUAUCUUUGCUGUAAAACGUGCAUCCUAGUUUCCCUUGGUAGUUUACUAAACUCAACUCCUCCAACUGAUUCAUCUCCACAUCUAUGGGCAUCUGGAUAUGAUCAAAUCUCUCAAACCUAACGUCGAACCUCCCUAAUACUAACACACUACUUGUUAAUGUGCCUCCUAGGUAAUAGAUAAUUCCAUUGAUGCACACACCAUUACCUCUCGGCGGAGCGAUAUCUUCUUGAAUUUCAAUCUUUCUCCAUUCUUGUUUAUUUGGACCUCUAAAUGUUAUAACCAUACAAGAAUAAUCGCAUAUUGUUGCCCCUUUAAUAAAACGCAAGACUUUGUAUUGAUCCUUAACUGGAUCAUAUCCAAAGAAUCCAUGAUAGUACUUGCUCUCGGCUACGUUCGCAACUGGAUCAUACCUAGAGAAUCCAUCAAAUGAUUUGUUUUCUUUAUGGUAUCCCACUGUGCGCGGCAACAAAACGUUUUGACUCGUGGUAGGGUUGUAUAUCGCAAACUGCUUAGAGUCUGAGUAAUAAAAGAUUAAUCCUCGGACAUAUGCAUAGUCGAAGGUGCUUCUGCGUUGAUAUAGUGUACGACAAGGAGGAGACAUGGCAAGACCACCUCUGUCUGCGGCUACGAAUGUUGUGUUAGCAUUGAGAGGAUAAGUAUACGAGGAGAUAUAUGAAGAUUGGAUCGACCGGUGGUAGCAAACGACGAGCUGGCGUGGCUGAGUCAAAGCCCUAGUUUUGAUCGCCUCGGUAAUGAUACUAGAUGACCAUAGCUUCGAUACACAUCGUAACCUCGCAAGUGUUUUCACCGGUAGUCUCGAGAGUAUCUCGACCGCUAGAUCAUAAGGGACAUUGAUUGACUGUGGUAACUUUUCUCCACCUUGAUGACCUUUUCGUAAAGACUUCUGGUUUUCCUUUCCUCUCUUCUUCAUGCUUGUCUAUGCUCUCUUUUCAUCUUUUGUGAAUCACGAAGGAAAAAGUUAACACGAAAAAAAGACCUACUAGGGUUUCUGACUUGCUUCUUUUUCUCUCUUAAUGCUUAAAGGAAGAGCAAAAUAAUUCUAAAGCAGCCCACUUUUCUGUCCCAUUUAAAGCCCAAGACAACCUACAUUGAAUAAAUAUAGAGUAUGGAGUGCAAAUAGGGGAAAAGUGGUGUGUAGGGAGUACAAAUUCUCUAAAAUUAUUGAACCAGCGAUUACUUUAGCCUAAUCAAUCCCCAAACUCAAGUAGGUUAUGUAUUCUAUCAAAUAUGCAUGGUUGAUUUGUUGGGAUGCAACAAGUGUAGUUGAUUUUAAAUUUUAUUUAUACGUAAAUAUUUUUUUGUUAUUAAAUUCAAACCAACUAUACAAAUCUAAUUACUUAGUGAGGAAUCUUUAUUAUAACAUUAUUGAGAAAUUAAAAUACACAAAAAACUUAUAAUCCCCUAUAUAUUAUUUGAGAAGCAUUAUAACUUUUUUUUGUAGCCACGUGUCAUCACUAGAAUGAUUUUUAGAAUCAUUAGAGAAAUAUGGUGGUCCAUCUAAUUAUAUAAUAAGCUUUUUAUUAAACUAACCAUAAAUUCAUUGCUAAUUUUCUUUAUAAUUUCCUUAAAUAAAAAUUACGGAAUUGCCUAAUGCGGCUAAAGUAUAUAUAUGACAAUUAAUGAUUUUGAAUAAUAAAUAUUUGAUAAAAAUUUGUGUAUUUUCUAUCAUAUUUGUUUAAUUUUAAACUAUUAAAAUAAAUUAAACAACCACAAUAACCAUAUAAUAAAAAUUUAUAUUUUUUUUGUAUAUGUUAUAUUUUGAAUUUUAAAAAAUGAUUAUAAAUUACUAAAACCGUUAAAAAUCUCACAUUCAAAUUUUUGUGAUCCAUGGUUUAAUUAUAUAUGUAAUAGUUAAUGAAUUAUUAUUCAAUAUAUAUUUAUUAUUUCAGAAUAUGUAAUAACAUAUAACAUAUAAAAUUAUUUUUAUAUAUAUAAUGUUUAUUCCGCGCAAGGCGCGGAUCUUAACCUAGUAUUACCUAUUACUAAAUCACAUAAUGUAUUUUCAAAAUCAUUGUUUUCCCUUGACUUGCGGAUCAAUCUAUUUUAGUUUUCAAAAUUUAAUGUACAUAAUUUAUUAAAAAAAUAUACACCUCCUUUUUACAUCGAUCAAUUAGUUCCACAAAUCUCUAUAUCAAAUAUUGCCUACAUUCUUUUUACACAAUAUAUAUAUUGACUACAUUUGUGCUAACCAAUUUAUUCUAUACACAGAAUAUAUAGUGAAAUUAAAUUCACACUAUCUUAUGGAAGUCAGUAUCUUACACAUAAAUCUAAUUAUAUAAAUGUUAAAUUUUUUAUAUGAUUACCUAAUAUCGGUGAUACAAUAUACGGGAAAAUGCAAACAAAUAAAAUCUCUCCAUGUAAUCUAAAAUAUAACAAUUAUGUAAUACAACUAAAUUUUUUAAAAAUAUAUAAUAUUUAGUAUAUUAUUAAAAAUAGAAGUCUUCCUAAUUUAAAUAAUAAAUUUAAGCAUCUAAUUUCUUUCCCUAAUUUGGAUUAUAAAUUUCUUUAAUCGAAUCUUAACCAAAAUAGAUUUUCUAUCAGACUUCGUAGUAAUAUAUUAAAUAUUUUUCAAUAUUUAUUAGUAAUAAAUAAUAAAGUAAAAAAUCACGUAUCAUGAUCAAUUUAUAUAAUAUAUAAAUAAAAUAUAAAAUAAUAUAUUAAUAAAUUAUUAGAAUAAUGUUUUCAUAUAUAUAAGUCUAGUUAUUUAUAACUAUUAGGUUUUUUAUAUGAUACAUGUGAUAUAAUAGACGGUUAAAAUCAUAAAAUAUAAUUACUCAUAGUAAUAAAUAAAAUUGUUAUUUUAAAAUGUUACUAGAGCUUGAUGCACGCACCCACGCGGAUGUUAGUUUUUUUUAUAAAUAAAUAUUUAUUUGUAUAAGUGAUAAUAUAUAUUUUAAAAUUUGCCCGUUUAAUUUUUUUUUUUAAUAUGACAUUUCUAAACACAAUAAUUUUAUAGUUUAUAUUGAGUAGUUUUAAUUUAUCAUGUAAAAUCUUAAUUAUAUCAUCCAUUUAUUUAGAAUAUGACCUGUAAAGUCACACAAAUGUAUUUUUAUUUUUUAUAGAUCAACAUUUUAUGAUAAUAUAUAAUAAAAUUGUUGUAUAAACUGUUUUUAUGAAUCAAAAUUUUAUGAUUAUAUAUAAUAAAAUUGAUGUAUACUUACUAUUUAUCAUGUAUAUUUGGAAGGAAAAUUGCCACAAAUAGCACAUUCAUAGUACCACUUUUCAUGUUUACACUAACCAUUUUUAUUUUUACUUUUAAUGAAGGAUAAAAGACACUUAUACCCUUAGGGUCCACUAAUAUAGACUUAGGGUUUAGAGUUGCAGGGUGGGGUAUGUUUUUGGAAUGUAAAAUUUAGGAUUCUAAUAAAUAUAUAAAUAAAUACUUAAAAAUAUAAUUAAAAAAAAAAUAAUUUCAAGCAUAAUUUUCGAUUUUCAAAAAGAAAUUUGAAAAAAAUAAAAAAAAAUUUCGAAAAAAAAUUUCAGAAAAAAAAGUUUAUAAAAAAGUUCGAUUACGAAAAAUUAUAAUUCGAAAACAUAAAAAAAGUCUUUUUUAUUAUUUAUUAUUUUAUUUUUAUUUUUAUUUUUUUAUUUUAAAUAACAAUUUAUUAUAUAGAUGGAUAACAAGAAUAUAAAAGUCUUUUGCUUCUUAAUGAAGAAGGUACUUUUGAAAAUGACUCUUUAAUGAUGGUAAAGAUGAAAAGUGGUAACUUGAAAAUGGUAAACAAAAAAUUUCUCCUAUUUGGAAUUAGUAAAAUAAUUACCAUAUAAUGUAUGUAGUUACGAAAUGUAUAUAUGGAAUUAAUUAUUUUCAAACACACAUAUGUGUAAUAAAAUAGGAAAAGACAAAGAAUACUAAAAGCUAGGUUUAUUAAUUAUUGUUGCCGUAAUUUUUAGUUAGAAUUUGAUUUUGGAAAUCUUAUAUAUUAAAACAGAAGUCAUAACCUUGAUUCAUGUGUGAUUUUUUAAAAAAUAGACUUAAUGAACAUAUUCCUUGAAAGUCAUGUUACAUCUAAUCUCUAAUUUUAUCAUUUAAAUUUUGGACCUACCAAAAUUUUUUAUUGGACUAUCAAUAAUUGAAUUUAAACAAUAGAUGAUCCAUUGGAUUUAUAGAUAGUAUAAAUUAAAUAGAUAUAAUUUAAUGUUGUAAUACUAUACCUCCAUAUGUUAAAUAUUUAAAUAUUUGUCGAUGUUAACUUUUAAAAUUAUACAGAAUUUUUUUAAAUAACAAAAAUCAUAUUAUCUAACAAUGAUUAAUCUUUACUACCUUAAACCAAUGAAAACAAAUUUUAAACUAUAUAGUUUAUUUUAAAAAUUAAACAAAAACUAAAUAUUUAAUUAUUUACUCGAUAAUAUAAAUCUAUAAAGCGAAAAGUUUAACUUCUUAAAAACUUUCUAAAUUUGUGAAAUAUUACAAUAUUUUUGAAUAUGACAAUAAAACAAUAUUUUAUUAAUCUUUCUAUAUACAGUUACGAUUUUAAUAAUGAAAUAAUAGUCCAAAUAUAUAUAUGUAUAGAUCUUGUUCGGAAACUCGCUAGGCGCUACGCGUGCGCUCGGGUUGGGCCUAGCGAUUAAUGAAAAAAUUAGAGAUUAAUCGAAAAUUAAUCGGAGAUUAGUUUUAGGGCAUUUAUUAAAUUUGUAAUAUAUAAAAUAGUAUAAGUAUGAAAGUAGUGUUAGUGCUGUAUGGUCUUGUGGCUUGCGUCUGUAAUUCUAACUCAAGUUGCUCGGGUUCGACAGUGGAAAACAGCAGUUUUGUUGAUUUUUUUACCUUUUCAUUAAUAACUGAGAAAUUACAAAGUUAUCCCUAUCUUCUUCUUCAACCUAAGUUUACCGAAAACCCAGAUUUAUGGUCUCCAACUUUUUUUUUUCACGAUUCAGACUUGUUUUUAUUGAUUCAUGCACACAUAUAACAGAUUUUAAUCCUAAUACAUGAUUUAAACUUUAAAAUUUACUUUUCCCACAAUAUUUGAGUUUCCCAAUUUCUAUUUUACGCGGCCGCAUAACCUUAAACCAUGCUUUACACAGCCAAAACUCGGGCUGGCGUAGAAUGCAUCUGAAUUGAUCUAACUCGCCAUGGUGGCCUUCCGUUUCACGAUUAUACGGCCAAUUAUACAGGUCGGCCGCCGCCUUUCUGAACGAGGUAUAUAGAUGAAGAUACAAAUACAUGUGAAAGUUUGAAAUAAUCUAUUCAUGAAAAAAUAUACCGUAAAUUUAUUAUGUUUUAAAAAUUGAUAGACACAUAUAUAUUAAUAUACUAGGGUCGGUCCGCCCUACGGGCGGGAUAUACUUUACUUGUGAUCAUUUUAUUAUUUUUGUAUGAUUUUAUAGUUAGUGUUUUAAGUUUUCAUUUGCGAGAAAUAUGUAUGAUACACUACAAAAAUUCAUAUUAUAUCACAUAAAUAGUAUCAGAAAUAUAAAUGAUAAAUAAAUUAUGAUGUAUUCUAGGGUUCUGAUUUGAGAAUAAUGUCACUUAUGUAUUAUUUUUAAAUUGAUGGUCAUGUUUUUAGGCGUUUAGUAAGAUUUUUUUUACAGUUAAAUUGAUAUGUGAAUGCAUGAUUGAGUUUGUUUUGUCUAUUAUCCAUAUUUUGUAUUAAUGAACUUUAGUUAUUGGGUUAUUAGUGGACUUUAACUUGACUGGGUACAUAAAAAUUAAACGAAAGGUUAACUGAACUAAAAAAGAAAAAAAAAAGGUUAUUUUAUUGUUUUUCUCUCAGCCGACUAAACCUAAUUUUCUUCUUUCUUUCACUAUUUCAUCCACCCGUAUUCUUUUUUCAUCACCUCACCUUCGUCUUCACCUCCUCACCGUAUCUUCUUCAUCACCUAAUCUCCCUUUUCAUCUCAUCCAUCUUUCUUUUAACCACCUCACCUUCUUCUUUACCACCUGACCCCAUCUUCUUCUUCACCACCUAAUCUCCCUUUUCAUCUAAUUAUGUUUCGUCGUUCACUUUCUUCUUUUCUGUUUUACUUGAUAAAUUAGGAUUUGAUUUACAGUUCAUC